UUUUUUUUUGUUUGAAAAUCUGCCUCUACAGCAUGCAGUUGUUUUAGGACCACUACAGCAAGCAGCUUUUCUUUUAGACAAACAACAGCAAGCAGUUUUUUUUUUUUUUGAGACAACUACAGCAAGCGGCUGGCUAGCAAAGAUGGAUGCUACAAUAAUCCAUGGGCCCGCCCAGUCGGGGCGGUUCCUACCCUCCGUGCGGGAGGCCGACUGCUUGACGCUCAGCGCGUAACCCUAAAAAAACAAAGCUUACAUCGUCCACGUUCUAGGGCGAGGUAGUCCGAUGGAUGCAAGGGAUCGAACCCUAAUCCUCCCCAAUAAAUAAGCACAAACGGAAUAAAGGUAGAAAUCAAACGCAAAACAGAAUAAAGGUUCGGAUCUCUUGCUAUUUUUUAGAGGAAAAACGAGGGGGUGAUGGCGGCGAAGAGGUCUCUUCCGCCGUGGCUGUAUGGCGAAGAGAAGGAGCGCAUGGAGCGGUACAGGACCGAGCGCGCCGAGCUGUUGCUGCAGGGCCAUGAUCCCGACGCCAUCAUGGACCGCUGGGAGGAUGAGCAGAAACGCCGGCAGAUUAGCAGCGGGAGGCGCGUUAGGUGUGUGGUCGAGAAGGUUGGGGGCGUGUUUUACGUCCGGAAAGUGGUAGAGGACGUGGAGGAGAUUCGCAAGGGGUGCGAGAAGGAGACGGCCAACGGCGACGCUCCAGCCGCCGCCGGUCAGAUCCGCGAGGAAAAGGAGGAAAAAUCUGCCGGCGAGGCACCAGCUUGUGCGGUCGCCGCCGGUCAGACAAGGGAGGAAAAGGAGGCAGCGAACGGCGACGUAAUAACAGGCGCUCAGAUCAGGGAGAUGCAGGUAGCCGGAGACGUCGUCGGUGCAUUUACCAGCGUCUAACAAUGCAUCGUAUCUGGGAUAAAAAAAUCAAUCUUACUUGCAUCCAUAUCUUGCAUAUGCAUGGACAAGCUUGAAACAGUGGUGAUUGUUUGGCAUUUUUUCUUCUUCUUUGGAGCAUGCACGCUGAAGGAUGCCCUGUGAAAUCCUCAUGUAUAUCCUCUAAAAUGUAUGGGAACUGUUCAUAAUAUUUCUUCGGUUGAAGAUCACGACUACAGACAAUCUUAGCAAGGGGGGCAACAAGAAACAUGUAGAAUGUGUUUUUUGCAAAUACUUCGAAAUUGUUCAUCACCUCCUUUAACGUAUGUAUAGUUGUAUUUUGGGCUAGAUUUGUCAAACUUUUUUUUCAAAUAGAGUCAAAAGCUUUGCCUUUUUCAUUAAUUAAGAAAAAGAUAGUUUGCCCGGUUAAUUGGCGAAAAAACGGAUGAAAGCCAAUACAUUUGGAACCUAGCACAUGCAACGACCCCAACAGCCAGCAAAAACCACGCAGAUGGCAAGCUACAACAAAAUAAUCCACGAAACCACAUGCGGACUACUCCCAAAAUAAAUAAAUAAACAUCAGAUCCCUCAGAGCGGCACUUACCGAUUGGUUGAUAUUCUUCAUAUUCUUCCCAUUGGCAAGGCGACACAACCCUUGGUGAUCGAAGGCAUGCCAAUUAGGCCUUUGAUCAGCUAGGUGAAGUCGUGUAGUGUGUGCUCGCCCUCAUUCGCAAUAGUACGACCUAUUGCAAUAGCUUGCACGUCGUCGGAGGUAGCAGCAAGGCUGCAAUCAGAGGCCACCUAUCAAAGGAGGCCAUUGCCCUGACCGAUGCAAGUUGCCCACUAGACUCCAUGGGAGUGGCUAACCUCCUCGAUACCUUGGUCCAAACUUUGAGUUUGUUGCUAGAGAGUGGGUGCUUUUACUGGAAUUUUGUCUAUUUUGGGCCUAACUCAAUAGUAGUUUCAAAAAUUCCUAAUAAAUCCUAAAGGCCCACACAGCCUAUUCGUGCAAGGCAAGAGGUGGAACUAAAGUUUAGUCCCACAUUGCUAGUUUAGAGGGAGUUGGACCUCUUUAUAAGGGAGAUUCUUUCCCCACUUGUAUGAGCAUGAGAACAAGAGGGACAUCCACGCGCGCUCCUCCUCCGCCGCCCGCCGCGCCGCGCCGCGCCGCGCGAACGGUGCAGGCUGUUCGCUACAUCUCCGUCUCUUCGAUUGCUUGACAUUAAUCCUCUCAUACCUACUAAUUGGUGUACUUGAGAUGCAUUUCCUCUCGCUCCUGAAAAAGACAUUAGAUAGACUGGAUUAGAAGGAUCCGUUAUCCAAAAAUUUGAAUUCAUUUCUUCUUUCAAAUAUUCACUUGUCGCAUACCAUAUCUCAACAAAUUGGCGUAAUUUUUCUACCGCGUGUACAGCCCCAUAAUAAUAGUGUUUCUCCAAAAGAAAACUAUGUUGUUCCGCCUCUUGGACUAACCAUCCCAUAGAGGUUAUUGUUAAAAGAUCUUUGAUUCCUAACGAAGUCGAUUUCGCUUCAACUCCGUCUCUUCGUUUCGCCUCCCUCGCACCUCCCAGAGAGACGCACCAGAACUACUCCUUCCCUCGCCAUCGGUUCCAUCUCUGAGCUGCUGCUGUCUUCCUCAUCCCGGCUUGAGGCGUGCACCGCACAUCGGGACAGUACGCCUCCGAAACCGCACCUUUUGAGUCCUGUACGGGAGAAGGGUGAUAAGGUUUUUGGGGAGCACUCAGGGCGACUACUGGCUGCUUCAUCACGGAUGAUCCGGUCGCCGACGACUACCUCCUCGACGACAUGGCAGGCGAGGACACCGACCCCAAGUCCAGCGCUUCUGCUGCUGCUGUCCCGUACAGUUCUUCUCCUUUCUAUUAGAGGUCCUGCUGCAGUUCCUUGUUCUAGUAUUUGCCUUAGAUAUGUUAGACUCUAUUUCACAUAUGCAACUACUAUCUGCUCUAGAUAUGUUUAGUUACAGUUCAUAUAUGAAUAUGUUGUUUACCUUCUCUUUGUCAAAUCGCAUGGCUUGUUUUGUCACUACUAUUAUGGUCAUGCUUUAUCUAGUAUUUCUGUUAAUAAAAUCAUUCGGUAAAUUGCUCAAAUUUCCAACAAUCCAAAAACCUUAUUAUAGGCAAUUUACCCCGAGUGGUUUUGCUGCUUCCAUGAAACCUCCUAUGUUUGAGGGUAUCCACUAUAAGAGGUGGCGCGUGAGAGCAGUCUUAUGGUUUCAAACCAUGAGUUGCUAUGACGCCACUCUUGGCAAACCUGAAGGAGAGCUUGAUGCUCAACAGGCACAAGCUUUUCAGAAAAUGGAUACUCUGUUUAAGGCUGCUCUCUUGAGUGUUCUUGGUGAGAACAUAGUUGAUGCUUAGGCGUCAACUGAUAAUGGAAAAGAUAUGUGGGAUGCACUCGAGGCCAAGUUUGGGGUCUCGGAUGCUGGCACUGAGCUGUACAUCAUGGAGCAAUUCUAUGAUUACAGGAUGACUGAAGAGCGCUCCGUGGUUGAGCAAGCUCAUGAGAUACAGUCAUUUGCUAGAGAACUUGAGCACUUCAGUUAUAUGCUACCGGACAAGUUUGUUGCCGGAGGUAUCAUCACUAAGCUUCCUCCUUCGUGGAGGAACUUUGCUACCUUACUGAAGCAUAAGAGACAGGAGUUUUCCGUCCCGGAUCUCAUUGGCACUCUUGAUGUGGAAGAAAAGGCGAGAGCAAAGGAUACACGUGCUCGAGGUAUUGAGGGAGGAUCUAGUGCCAAUCUGGUACAGAAGAAGAACUUCCAGCCCCACAAGUUCAAGAACAAGGGCAAGUUUGAUGGUAAAGCAAAGUUUGAUGGGAAGAACAAGGCUGUGCAGCAUACGAACUUCAAGAAGAAGAAUGACAAGAAGAAAGGUGCUUGUCAUGUGUGUGGCGAUCCUGAUCAUUGGGCUCCUAGUUGCCCAAAUCGCUAUGACAAGCGUCAUCCUGGGAAAGGCAGCAAGACCGCUAAUGUUGUCAUUGGAGACACUGACAUGAAGGAUGAUGGGUAUGGUAUAUUUCCCACUAUUCUUUCAGUAUGUCAUUCUCCUGAUUGGUUGAUUGACACGGGUGCUAAUGUGCAUGUAUGCGGUGAUAUUUCCAUGUUUUCGUCUUAUCAAACCGCAGGGACUUCAACCGUGCUGAUGGGCAACGGUUCAAGUGCUUCUGUUCAUGGUGUUGGCACGGUCGAUCUGAAGUUUACUUCGGGGAAGAUCGUGCGGCUGAAGAACGUGCAUUAUGUCCCCUCCGUCAAUAAAAAUCUUGUUAGCGGAUCUCUUCUGUGUACAGAUGGCGACAAGCUUGUCUUUGAGUCGAAUAAAUUUGUAAUAUCCAAGUAUGGAACCUUUGUUGGUAAAGGUUAUGAGUCAGGAGGCCUGUUUCGUUUAUCCUUAUCAGACGUUUGCAAUAAAGUUGUUAAUCAUAUUUGCAACAAUAGUGAAUCAAAUGUGUGGCAUUCACGUCUUUGUCAUGUUAACUUUGGUUGCAUGUCGCGACUAGCGAAGUUGAACUUAAUCCCUAGUUUCACCACUGUCAAGGUAUCUAAGUGUCAAAUGUGUGUGCAAGCUAAGCAACCUCGUAAGUCUCACACGACUGCGGAAACGAGAAAUCUUGCACCACUAGAGCUCAUACAUUCAGAUCUAUGUGAAAUGAAUGGUGUUUUGACAAAAGGUGGAAAGAAAUAUUUCAUGACGUUAAUUGAUGACUCCACUAGAUACUAUCGUGUGUAUCUUCUGAAAUCUAAGGAUGAGGCUUUGAACUUUUUCAAGAUCUAUAAAGCUGAAGUGGAAAAUCAACUUGAUCGGAAAAUCAAGAGGCUUAGGUCCGACCGUGGUGGAGAAUAUUUUUCCAAUGAAUUUGAUGCUUUUUGUGCGGAACAUGGUAUAAUCCAUGAGAGGACGCCUCCCUAUUCGCCUCAGUCAAAUGGGGUGGCCGAAAGAAAUAACUGUACUCUAACUGAUUUGGUUAACGCCAUGUUAGACACAUCGGGUCUCUCCAAGGCAUGGUGGGGGGAUGCGAUAUUGACGGCAUGUCAUGUCCUAAACCGAGUUCCCACAAAGAACAAAGAGAUAACUCCAUUCGAGGAAUGGGAGAAGAAAAGGUUAAAACUCUCUUAUCUACGAACAUGGGGUUGUUUGGCGAAAGUCAAUGUUCCAAUUCCAAAGAAGCGGAAGCUUGGACCAAAGACUGUGGAUUGUGUCGUGGAAUUGUCACGGCAGAUGUCCUUGGGCUAGGACUUAGUCGUGGAGCCAUCGCAACUAGGAAGCUUGAAGGGGUUAUGCGGGACAAGGAACACGAGGGUUUAUACUGGUUCGGCCCCUUACGGUGAAGGUAAAAGCCUACGUCCAGUUCGAGGUGUUAUUGAUUAGGGUUACGAUCGCCAGGGAACUAAAUACUUAUCCCGGCUCUCGGAGAGAUUGUUGUCGUCCCCAAACCGCUGCCGGGUCGUCCCUUUAUAUAGGGAGGCUGACGCCCAGCAGCCCUUAGAGUCCCGAGCCGGCUCAUAAGAGUGUCCGGCUCGGGCUCUAAAACAAUACUUGCCUUACACUACAAGUCUACUAUAACAAUGAUUGUAACUACGGCUUUAAGCCAUAUCCGGGUCUCAGCCCAUCUCUGGCCCAUUAUCCUGAAACUUAGCUCCGGGCUUCUGGUAAUGAUCCUUGGAGUAACCCGGCCCUCCUGGCGGGUGACCCCCAGGUCCAUAUCCUCAACAUUAGGCCCCAGAUUGACUUGAGCCGGCUCGUGUCAAUCUUCAGCUCCGCAGUCAGAAAAAAUCUCCGGCUUAUCAUUCAUGUGAAGGUCAUAACCCGGAGUGACGUCAUCCUCUGGACUCCGGGUAAUCCGCCGUGACGUCAUCCUCCACUAAAUCCGUUUUUUACUCCGCCAGAUCCGCAACGGAUCUUUGCUUUUACUGACCUUCCGAGAAUCGAGGCGCCGUGAGGGGGGAGAUAACCACGCCGUGGCCUCCUCAAAUCCCGCGCCCGCUUAUGACUCGGCCUUAUAAAUAGGCCGGCCCGGCACUCUCUUCUUCACAUUCUCCUUCUUCCUCGCACUGCCGUUCCUCUGCCCGAGCUUCUGCCGCCGCUGCCGUCGCACCCCUGGUCUUCCUCAACCCGGCCGCUUGCAUCAACCUGACUCGGACCAGAUAACGUCGGCGACCUCCGCUCUUCUCCAGCUCCGGUGAGUCCCCUCCGCCUUACUAGCAUAGAUCUAGGACAGAGUUCAUCUGUGUUCUUCAUGUUCAUCACUGUUACCGCAAGUUUUCGGUAACCCCUGUAGGCACUGCCCCCGUUGAUCCUUAGGCUUGUGUAGAACCACCGCGGUAGAUAUCUGAGGUUCAUUUCUUCUGCAAGAACACCUCUUUUUACUGCAUAAGGACUGGGUUCCAUCUCAAGAACCUCCCCUGCUUCUGUUUUUUAGGUCUAGAAAACUUUCUCUGCUCCGACUACUUUGAUCCAAAAAAGUUACUGUAAUAUGCGAAAUCUGUUUACCACACUUAGUAAAAACUGCAGUCCUUGAAUCUUGGCGGCUUAUAUUUCCGACUUAGAGAAAACACGCGCCGUAGAACUUUCCGGUUUAAAGAGAAUCAUGCUCUGUAGUAUCUUCCGACUUAACCGCAGUAAACCGUAGACGACCAACUUAUCCUGAAAACCCCGACGGCUUAGAUAACCCACCAUAUCAAGACAUACCAUUAGUCCCCUUCAUAAGCCGUCAUUAACCCGGACACUUUUCUCUUCCUCGUAGACCACCAACCGUCACCAUGCCUCCCAAGGCUCCCAUCACUUGCAACUGGAUGAAAUCCAGCGUCACCGAAGAGACCCUGGCCAACUUCGUUAAAUCCGGAUAUCUGCCUAAGAAGGAAGUGAUGUCCUACCGUGCCCCUGACCCGUCCGAAGAAAGGCCACAGCCGAGAGACGGGGAGGUAGUGAUCUUUGCUGACCAUAUGAGCCGGGGCUUCGCACCGCCCGGCUCAAAAUUCUUCCGGGACGUGCUCAACUUCUUUGAUCUUCGGCCUCAGGAUAUAGGACCCAAUUCCAUAUCCAACAUCUGCAACUUCCAAGUUUUUUGUGAAGUAUAUCUUGGAGAAGAGCCGAGUCUGCUGCUCUUCAGAGAGCUGUUCUAUUUGAACCGCCAAACCGAGUGCGCAAACGGUCCAAGUCUAGAGUUAGGCGGCAUCUCCAUCCAACGGCGCAGGGAUUGUCUGUUCCCUUAUGCAGAACCGCCAAGUCACCCCAAGGACUGGAAUAUGACUUGGUUCUACUGCCAAGACACGUCCCCGGCUGAUGAGAGCCCGCUGCCCGGCUUUCGCCCAACGCGCCUGGAGCCAACUCAUCCAUUAUCCGACAAACUGACUGCCGCAGAACGCCAGCCUCUGCUUCCAACGAUCAACAAGAUCAAAGCCCUGCUAGGCAAUGGUCUGAACGGAAUUGACCUGGUCCGAGUCUGGAUCUCAUGGCGGGUGAUCCCAUUGAGCCGCCGCCCCGGCUUAAUGUGUGAGUACACCGGGCGAAAGGAUGACCCGCAGAGGCACAGUCACAAUGAUCCUCCAGAAGACGUUGCUGAAGAAGAGACCAAGGCUCUUUUAAACGAGAGCCUGGCAGACUGUGGAAGAAUCGGGCUAGCCCCGUUCUGCAAGACCAAUCCAGCCCCAGCGGUAAGCCGCUGACUUUAACCUUUCCAUUUUGUUUUACCUGUCAUCUUACUAAGAGCUCAUUACUGUAUUUCUCAGGCUGAUGAUAAAUUCUGGCGGGUCAAGUAUGACCACGAGGCGGCCAAGAAGGCCAGGAAGGCGAAGAAAGCCGCCAAGAGAGCCGCCCCUCGCAAAAAGGGAAACAGACCCACUGCUUCGGAGCUGCUGCAAUUAAGCGAUAGCUCCGAAUCAGAGGUAACCCUUAAAUCUUUUAAAUUCUUGCAGUAUAUGUUGUCUGAUGUUGUCCGCCUUAUCAACACUUGCUUAUUGACAGGAUGACACCGGCGCCAGUAACCCGGUGGUCGAAGAGGUAACAUCACUUUCCUCCGGCUCGGAGCCUUUACCACAGCUGAAAGUCCGAAGGGUAACCCGGAAAGUAAGCUUUUCCCAUCGAUUAGCUCACCGAGACCCUCAAUUUCUUUUGAAGCAGCAGGUUCACGAGAGCCGGCGUCACACCCGGGCCCGCAAGGACACCGACCUCUCCACUGGGUUACCCGACGCAACGAGGAAACGCUGCACUGAGGUUUUUUCUCACCUGUACCCUUUUCAUCCGUUGGCGGGUGUCAUCCGUCAGCCACUCAACUCUUCUGACUCCAAUUACCAGGAGACCUCCCCCUCCUCGGGUGACUCCAUGCAGUCAAGUCUGCCGGCCUUCAAGACUGCCCCCGGGUAAUAACAAUCUCCUUACAUCAUCUGUCUGUACUUACCCUUUGUAUGCCUAACACUUCUGCCUUUUCAGUGCCCAGGCAAAGCUCACCAAAAGAGUAAAGAAGACCAGGUCAGCCGGAGUGCCCGACUUGCCUGAGCCGGAGACGACGGCUCAAGAGCCGCCAGUCGCCUCCACCCCUGAAGCCACCAUUCCCAUGGAUACAGCGCCUGAAGCCCCACCAGCUAAUGACCCGGACGUGGUAAUUACCCGGACGGAGUUUGUUGAGCCGGGAAGGCCGACCGCGCUGGCCAAAUGCUCCGCAAGGGGGGAGUUGCUACAACCCCACCGGGUGAAUCUGGAUCUCUCCAGCUACACCGACUUAAGUAUUGGAGAACUCGUCUCAGGCUAUAUCAGCCAGGUUCACAAGAGCCGGGACGCCGAGAUCGCUAUGGUCAACCAGAUCCAACACAAAUCUGAGGUAACCUUCUGCUGUUCUCUUACUUUCCGCAUAGUGAUCCUUGCCAUUCUAGCCCCCAAGUCUAGGACUUAUACUUGAAUAUGUUGUAGACUUUAGAUUCCGGCUUACUGAACUGAGCCGGCCGUACAUAGAUAGAUACGUUCAAUAUGCAUUAGCCCCCAAGUGCCAAGUGUCUUUGCUUGGAAAGCGCUUGGGACUUUAUAGGAUGACUGUUAAUAACCCGGAAAUAUAUGCAGGCUGUUGGCAAGAAAUUAGAGUCAGACCUGGCGGAUCUCAAGAGCCGGCUGAAGGCACAAGAGAUGGAGACCCGGAAGGCAAAUGCCAAGUUUGUCUCCAGCAUCGCCGCUCAGGAAAAGUUGAAGACUGAAUUCGACGCUGAGCGGAAGGCCUGGGCUGAGGAGAAAACUGCACUGGUGACCCGGGCAGAACAGGCGGAGAAGGCCCUUACUGAGAAGACCGCUGAGCUCUCCGGUCUACAGCGCCAAGUGUCCCAAAUGGUAGCUGCCAUCUUCGGUAAGUCACCUUACCGGCUUUCAUUCACAUUGGAAUGUUUACAUCUCGUAACUCAUCCUUACCACCGGGUCAUCUGAUGUUGUUAAACAGGUUCCAGAAGCGCCAACUUGAACCAGAGCGUGGUCACCAAGUUAAAGGCCGUGUACACCCUGGUGGAACAGCUCUACACCGGGUCACAGUGGGCUUUAGCUGUGGUGGCCCUGUCGAAUGAAGUGCCGACUCAUCUGGCCGAAGUCCUGCGCCGGCUCGCAGUUCUGCCGCAGCGGAUCCAGGAGCUACGACGAGCAUCCGCGAGAUCCGGAGCAAUCGCCGCACUGAGCCGGGCCAAAGCCUUCUUGCCGGAGCUAGACCCGGCAGACAUCGCCCUGGGUUAUCCCAGCCUGAAAGAAGACGGCUCAGCGUUCGAUCAGAAGGACUUCGCGGCUUGUGUGAAAGCUGUGCGCCCGGUGGCCACCAUCAUCGGGAACGACACCGAUUUAACCAAGUAUCAGCCGGGAUACAACGCGGAGAAUCAGAGGAUUCCAACCCCUCGCUAUGAAGCCAUCAAUCUGAUUCCUCCGGCUCGCCAGCACACCUUUGCCCCGGAGAUUAACCCGGACGGGUUAAUUGACGAAGAAGCUCAGUUCGAAGCUCUCAGCGGCAUCAACUGGAAGUCGUCGACCUUCGAAGCCUUGGGAUCAGCCGAAGCAGAAGAUGAGCCGGGGACUUCAACUCAGCAGGCGUCAUAAACCGGCUAGCGGCUCACCAAACAACGCCCAUCCUUGAAACUUUGAAAGAUUUUUGUAAUAGAGUAGGUGCAACAAUUUAUCUCUGCCGUGCCAUCGUGCACGUAAUGAAUGCUGAAAUCCUUUGAAGUCAUUCUUUUGAUGCUCCUCCGGGUCGGAAUUACCCCUUUGUCCUUCUCAACCUUAAAAAGUGCCUUUAAAUAUCUGCAUAGAAAGGCAAAUUACAAGUCGCAAAGCGGCUUACCGCCCUGAGAAUCAGGUGUUUGAGAUGGAUAACCCGGGAUACGAACCAAAAAAGAUCGGUCCUUAACUAUACUCGAACAUAGCUGUGAUGACACACUUAACAGCCUGUAAGCAUACUUCCGGGUUAAAUAGCCCGGGUAGCAUGGUUGGUACCUUAACUCGAAUUUAUUUGUCUUGAUGACAUCCAUGAUGCUCAACUAACAAGAUAAACCAAAAUUAAGCCGGCAAGUGAAACCCGGCAGUACAUACUUUGACAUGAUCAAAGCAAGUUUGUGGUAAAAUAUAAAAACUUAAGGGCUUCCGGUUCGAAUACGACCAGAAACUUGGUCCAAAGGGGUUAAGCUAAGAUUCGGAUACGAUCAUAUAGCCCCCAGUGGGUUUGGCGAUGCCAAUCAAGAGGGUAUCGACAGCUAUGUUCUCUUUGGUUCGAAUACGACCCAUGUUUGAACAGGAAGCCCCCAAGUGAUUCUGAAAAUUUGUUUAACGACGCUGAUUCGAAUACGAUCCACGUCGGUUCUCAGAGGGGUUACACUAUGAUUCAAAUAUGACCAGAGGCAACUUCCCAAUGAGCUCGGCACUUUGCCAAUCAAAUGGGUAUCGACAGCUAUGUUCUCUUUGGUUCGAAUACGACCCAUGUGUGAACAGGAAGCCCCCAAGCGACUUUACUGCUUACAGCUAGAUUCGAAGAUGAUCAUAAGCCGGAUCUUCUGUAAGUCAGCAUGUAACAACACACAUUUUUGGAAGAGAGCAAAGGACAGAGGUCCUGCUUUAUUGCUUUAUCAUAAUAUAUACAUGGCUGAGAUAAAUAUGUACAUCACAAGAGUCGGAAUCUCAAGUGUAGUAAAGCCGAAGCUGAGCUAUGUUCCACGGCCGACGGGUCUCCUCCUCAGAUUUACGUGAGUCCUUAUGCUCCCGGAUAUCAAUGAGGUAAUAUGACCCGUUGUGCAAGUUCUUACUGACCACAAAAGGCCCUUCCCAAGGUGGGGAUAACUUGUGUGCAUCUGUUUGAUCCUGGAUGAGCCGGAGCACCAGGUCGCCCUCCUGGAAGACCCGGGAUUGGACCCGGCGGCUAUGAUAACGGCGCAGGUAUUGUUGGUAAAUCGCUGAACGGGCGGCUGCCACAUCACGCUGUUCGUCCAGCAAGUCCAGAGCAUCUCGGCGCGCCUGUUCAUUAUCCGUCUCAACAUAAGCCGCCACACGAGGUGAAUCAUGACGGAUGUCGCUGGGGAGAACUGUUUCUGCUCCAUAAACCAUGAAGAAAGGCGUGAAGCCUGUAGACCUGUUAGGAGUAGUGUUGAUGCUCCAUAAAACGGAGGGCAACUCCUCCACCCAACAACCUGGCGUACGUUGCAAAGGGACCAAGAGCCGGGGUUUAAUGCCCUUCAGAAUCUCCUGGUUAGCUCUCUCAGCUUGACCAUUGGAUUGGGGGUGUGCCACUGAAGAGACAUCAAGCCGGAUAUGCUCUCUUUGACAGAACUCCUCCAUAGCGCCUUUGGACAGAUUAGUGUCGUUGUCUGUUAUGAUGCUGUGUGGAAAGCCGAAGCGGAAGAUCACCUUUUUCAUAAAUUGAACCGCCGUGGCUGCAUCGCACUUGCUAACUGGCUCAGCUUCCACCCACUUCGUGAAUUUGUCCACUGCCACCAAGAGGUGGGUCUUCUUAUCCUUGGACCGUUUAAAAGGCCCGACCAUAUCAAGCCCCCAGACCGCAAAGGGCCAAGUGAUCGGGAUCAUCCUCAAUUCCUGAGCCGGCACAUGAGCCCGUCGGGAGAACCUUUGGCAGCCAUCACAUUUACUGACCAAGUUCUCUGCAUCAGCGUGAGCCGUCAGCCAAUAAAAACCAUGACGGAAAGCCUUGGCCACAAGAGAUUUUGAACCGGCAUGAUGGCCACAAUCCCCUUCAUGGAUCUCGCGCAAGAUCUCUUGACCUUCCUCAGGGGAGAUACAACGCUGGAAUGCCCCUGAAACACUGCGAUGAUGCAACUCGCCAUCGAUAACAAUCAUUGACUUAGCCCGCCGGGUUAUUUGCCUGGCCAGAAUUUCAUCCUCAGGCAACUCUCCCCGGGUUAUAUAAGCCAGAUAUGGCAUUGUCCAGUCUGGUGUGAUAUGAAGAGCCGCCACCAGUCGUGCCUCCGGGUCAGGGAUAGCCAAGUCCUCCUCUGUAGGCAACUUAACCGAAGGGUUAUAUAGGACAUCCAGGAAAGUGUUAGGCGGCACCGGCUUUCGCUGAGAGCCGAGCCGGCUUAAAGCAUCAGCCGCCUCAUUCUUCCUACGGUCAAUGUGCUCCACUUGAUAUCCCUGAAAGUGCCCGGCAAUGGCAUCAACCUUGCGGCGAUAAGCCGCCACUAGAGGAUCCUUAGAAUCCCAGGUGCCUGAUACUUGUUGAGCUACCAAGUCUGAGUCACCAAAACACCUCAGCCGGCUUAAGCUCAUCUCCUUAGCCACCCGAAGACCGUGGAGCAAAGCCUCGUACUCAGCCGCAUUAUUAGUGCAAGGAAACAUCAACCGUAGCACAUAAUGGAACUUGUCACCUUUAGGGGAAGCCAAGACCACACCAGCCCCCGAGCCCUCCAGCUGCCUGGACCCAUCAAAGUGAAUAGUCCAAUAAGUGUUAUCCGGCUUUUGCUCGGGUACUUGUGACUCUGUCCAAUCAUUGAUGAAGUCUAUCAAGGCCUGAGACUUAACAGCAGUGCGUGGCACAUAUUUGAGGUCAUGAGGUCCAAGUUCUAUAGCCCACUUAGCAAUUCUCCCUGUAGCCUCUCUGUUCUGGAUAAUAUCACCGAGAGGGGCGGAACUGACCACAGUGAUGGGAUGACCUUGAAAGUAAUGCUUAAGCUUCCGGCUCGCCAUAAAUACCCCAUACACGAGCUUCUGCCAAUGCGGAUACCGCUGCUUGGACUCAAUGAGCACCUCACUGACAUAAUAAACCGGCCGCUGAACCGGAUGCUCCUUACCUGCCUCCUGGCGCUCCACCACAAUAGCCACGCUGACAGCUCGUGCGUUUGCCGCUACAUACAGUAGCAAGGGCUCCUUAUCAACCGGAGCAGCAAGGACGGGGGGCUCUGCCAGUUGCUUUUUCAAAUCCUCGAAGGCGGUAUUAGCUGCAUCAUUCCAGACAAAGUUAUCAGUUUUCUUCAUCAAUUGAUAUAAGGGCAUAGCCUUCUCACCCAAACGGCUUAUAAACCGGCUUAACGCAGCGAUGCGACCCGCCAAACGCUAAACGUCAUUUAUACAUGCCGGCUGAGCUAGAGAAGUGAUAGCUUUGAUCUUCUCUGGGUUAGCCUCAAUGCCCCUGUCAGAAACCAAGAAGCCCAAUAGUUUGCCUGCAGGAACACCAAAAACACAUUUGGCCGGGUUAAGCAUCAUCUUAUAGACCCGGAGAUUGUCGAAGGUUUCCCUUAAGUCAUCUAUCAGGGUUUCCUCCUUGAUGGAUUUAACCACAAUGUCGUCCACGUAAGCGUGAACAUUGCGCCCGAUCUGCUUAUGAAGGCAAUUUUGCACACAACGCUGGUAAGUCGCCUGUGCACACUUGAGUCCAAAGGGCAUAGACACAUAGCAGAAGGCUCCAAAGGGAGUGAUGAACGCCGUCUUCUCCUGGUCCUUAACUGCCAUCUUAAUCUGAUGAUACCCGGAAUAAGCAUCCAAGAAGCUUAAGCGUGCACAACCUGCCGUGGCGUCAAUGAUUUGAUCGAUACGGGGGAGAGCAAAAGGAUCAGCCGGACACGCCUUGUUCAAGUCCGUGUAGUCCACACACAUCCGCCAGGUGCCGUUCUUUUUAAGUACGAGCACCGGGUUAGCCAACCACUCUGGGUGAAAAACCUCAACAAUGAACCCGGCCGCCAAAAGCCGGGCCACUUCUUCACCAAUAGCCUUCCGCCUCUCUUCGUUAAACCGUCGAAGGAACUGUCUGACCGGCUUAAAUUUUGGAUCCACAUUGAGAGUGUGCUCAGCGAGUUCUCUAGGUACACCUGGCAUGUCAGAAGGUUUCCAUGCAAAGAUGUCCCUAUUCUCACGGAUGAACUCGAUGAGCGCGCCUUCCUAUUUCGGGUCCAGAUUUGCACUGAUGCUGAACUGCUGAGACGAGUCACCUGGAACAAAAUCAACAAGUUUAGUCUCAUCGGCCGAUUUAAACUUCAUUGCUUGUUCAUUCUCCGUGGUUGGCUUUUUCAGAGAGGUCAUAUCUGUUGGGUCAACAUUGUCUUUAUAAAAUUUCAACUCUUCUGUGGCACAAACAGACUCUGCAUAAGCCGCGUCACCUUCCUCACACUCCAGAGCCACCUUCCGGCUGCCGUGAACUGUAAUGGUCCCAUUGUGACCCGGCAUCUUGAGCUGUAAGUACACAUAGCACGGCCGUGCCAUGAACUUGGCGUAAGCCGGCCGUCCGAAUAUAGCAUGGUAUGGACUUCUUAUCUUGACCACCUCAAAGGUCAACUUCUCCACCCUGUAGUUGUUCUCAUCACCAAAAGCCACUUCCAAUUCGAUCUUGCCGACUGGAUAAGCCGACUUACCGGGUACCACACCAUGGAAGAUAGUAUUUGACUGGCUGAGGUUCUUAUCAACUAGCCCCAUACGACGGAAAGUCUCAUAAUAGAGGAUGUUGAUACUGCUGCCUCCAUCCAUGAGUACCUUUGUGAAUUUAUAGCCUCCCACCUGAGGAGCCACUACUAAGGCCAGGUGGCCCGGGUUAUCCACCCGGGGAGGGUGAUCCUCCCUACUCCACACUAUGGGCUGCUCCGACCACCGUAAGUAGCGUGGAACCGCCGGCUCAACAGAAUUAACAGCCCUCUUGUGAAGCUUCUCAUCUCGUUUGCACAAACUAGUGGUGAACACGUGAUACUGUCCACCGCUAAGUUGCUUCGGGUUGGUCUGAUAACCCCCCUGUUGCUGUUGAUGACCCUGACCAGACUGUUGAUUGAAGCCCCCUUGACCGUUCUGAGGACCGGAAUUUGACCCGCCACCCGGGCCAUGAGAGCCGCCAGCGCCGGAGCCGCCUGCGCCUGGGCCGCCGCCCGGGCCAUUGUAGUUUUUAAAGGCCUUCAUGAUAGCACAAUCCUUCCACAGAUGAGUCGCUGGCUUCUCUCUAGAGCCGUGUCUCGGACAAGGUUCAUUCAACAGCUGCUCCAGAGAAGGUCCUGACCCGCCGCCUCGGGGAGGGGGCCUCCCCUUGCGUCGCUGGUUGUUGCCUUGGGUGUUGGCUACGAACUCCAGGCUGCCAUCGGCCUUGCGCUUGCCUCCUCCUUGAUUCCCCGGGUUAAACUGAGGGCUCUUUCCAUUGCCGUUCUUCUUUCCCUUCCCUGUCCUUUCAUCAUCUGAAGGGGGAUCCUUGGUACCAUCGGAAUCAGCGUAUUUGACAAGAGCCGCCAUUAGUGUACCCAUAUCCGUGCAGUCACGUUUAAGCCGCCCAAGCUUCAUCUUUAGGGGCACAAAACGACAGUUAUGUUCUAACAUCAAGACUGCAGAGCCGGCGUCCAUCUUAUCUGAUGAAUGUAUGAUCUCCUUGACCCGGCGAACCCAAUGGGUCGUGGACUCGCCCUCCUGCUGCUUAGAGUUAGUCAAAUCCACAAUUGACAUAGACUGCCUACAGGUAUCCUUGAAGUUUUGAAUGAACCGGGCCUUCAGCUCAGUCCAAGACCCAAUGGAGUUCGGUGGCAGCCCUUUUAACCACGUGCGGGCAGUUCCAUCUAACAUCAUGGUGAAAUAUUUGGCCAUGGCCGCCUCGCUGACCUCUAGCAGUUCCAUGGCCAUCUCAUAACUCUCAAUCCAGGCCGCAGGCUGUAAGUCAGCUGUAUAGUUAGGCACCUUCCUAGGGCCCUUGAAAUCCUUAGGUAAACGUUCAUUACGGAUGGCCGGCACCAAACAAGGGACACCCCCGGUCCUGGUAGAAAUACCCACAUCAACGGAUGCCGUUGGAUAACCCGGGGGGGUCUGAUAAGCCGUCAAUUGCGGCACCUGCUCCACCUCUUGCCGUGCUUGGUCUGCGGCGUAGAAGGUUCCAACAUGAGCCGGGCCAUGGCGUCGGACAUUACUUGAGCCGGUCGCCGAGACCAUGUGCCGGCUGUAGCUCGGGCUCUGGCCUGGGCGAGGAGUUGAGUGGAUCCUGUCCCGGCUGUAGGAGUACGCCUCUUGCUGCGCUAGGGCCGUCUGCAGGAGUUCCCUGACCCGGCGGGUUUCCACGGCUGCCGGAGAAUUGCCGUCAACGGGAAGAGCCGCCAGUCGUGCUGCCGCUGCUACCAUGUUCUCCAGCGGGUUAUCGUAAUGACCCGGGGGUAUUGGCACAUACUGAGGCGGGGCAGGGGGCGCCUGGGGAGGCCCCAUUACUAGUGGCUGAAUAAGGGGUCCCGACCCGGGCGCAAUGACCCCUGGUGGGUUACUGGAUCCCGCACCCGGCGUGUUGAAUAGAUUGCGCGGAUCGUAAACCGGCGGGAGUCGAGACUGGGCCUUCUGAUGCCUCCUUCUCAUGACCUCGUUGGCCGCGCUCUGAUCCAUCGUGAGUUGGAAGGACUGCGCCUGAAUCAACUGAGCCCGGGCGUCGAGAGCCGCCCGCUCCGCCGCCAGCCUGAUCCCUUCUGCUGCAAGAUCCUCUUUUGCUUUCAUCAGAUCCAAUUUUAACUGUGCCACCUCCGCGUCAUGCUGGGCUUGAUCUGCCGGGUCAACCGUGGCAGUUAACAGGGCCGUCAUCUUAUCUGUGAGAUCCAUCAGCACCUGAGCCGGGGAAGGCUCUGGAUUUUCUGAUCUGGUAGCGGGGUUCUGAACAGGCUGCGCACCAGCCAUAAAAACUCCGACCUGACUUGGCGGCUCAAAAAGGUCCGGAAUACUGUUGCCAUCGGAAUAACUCAUGAGCCUGCCAUCUUGAAGUUGGUACAACGAGUUUGACUCAUCAGCGGCCGACUCGCCGUCAGAGCCGGCGGCCGCCUCAUCCCCAGACCCAGAUGGAUCGGAGGGCCUUCCAUGGAUGCAUCCCACAAAAGCGCGUUUUAAGGCAGGCCGGGCCCGGGCGGAUCGGGCGCGCUGAGCCGUUUCGAUGAGAUCGGCACAGAGACCCGGCUCGGGGCCCGGCUCACCAAUCUUGCCAAUGAAGACAUGAAUUCCGCCAAAGGGGACCCGGUACCCGUACUCCACUGAGCCGGCGUCGGGGCCCCAGUCCGCGUCGUCGAUGUAGAGCCUGCCGCGACGACUCUUGGUCAUCCGGCCCGCAGCGUAUCCCUUGAGCCCUUCGAAGCUGCCCUUCAAGAACUCAAAUCCACCGCGCGCUCGCCCCACAGUGGGCGCCAACUGUCGUGGAAUUGUCACGGCAGAUGUCCUUGGGCUAGGACUUAGUCGUGGAGCCAUCGCAACUAGGAAGCUUGAAGGGGUUAUGCGGGACAAGGAACACGAGGGUUUAUACUGGUUUGGCCUACGUCCAGUUCGAGGUGUUAUUGAUUAGGGUUACGAUCGCCAGGGAACUAAAUACUUAUCCCGGCUCUCGGAGAGAUUGUUGUCGUCCCCAAACCGCUGCCGGGUCGUCCCUUUAUAUAGGGAGGCUGACGCCCAGCAGCCCUUAGAGUCCCGAGCCGGCUCAUAAGAGUGUCCGGCUCGGGCUCUAAAACAAUACUUGCCUUACACUACAAGUCUACUAUAACAAUGAUUGUAACUACGGGCUUUAAGCCAUAUCCGGGUCUCAGCCCAUCUCUGGCCCAUUAUCCUGAAACUUAGCUCCGGGCUUCUGGUAAUGAUCCUUGGAGUAACCCGGCCCUCCUGGCGGGUGACCCCCAGGUCCAUAUCCUCAACAGAUUGUGUUUUCCUGGGAUAUGCUUUUCAUAGCAUUGGCUAUAGAUUCUUGGUUGAAAAAUCUGAGGUACCUGACAUGCAUGUCGGUACGAUCAUGGAGUCGAAUGAUGCGACUUUCUUUGAAGAUAUCUUUCCCAUGAAGGAUAUGGCUACCUCAUCUAAUCAGGAGAUGCCUGGUUCAUCGAAUCAGGAACAAGUUACAAUUACCGAACCUACCAUUUCGACGGAACACUUUGAAAGUCCUGUGGAGGAGAACAAUGAAGUUCCUAUUAGGAGCAAGAGACAGAGGACUGCAAAGUCCUUUGGUGAUGAUUUUCUUGUGUAUCUCAUAGAUGACACUCCCAGUUCUAUUUCAGAGGCCUAUGCAUCUGAAGAUGCUGACUACUGGAAGGAAGCGGUUCGUAGCGAGAUGGAUUCCAUCUUGGCGAAUGAAACUUGGGAGAUAACUGAUCGUCCUUAUGGGUGCAAACCUAUAGGAUGCAAAUGGGUAUUCAAGAAGAAGCUUAGGCCUGAUGGUACUAUUGAAAAGUACAAGGCUCGGCUCGUGGCUAAGGGUUAUACCCAAAAGGAAGGUGAAGACUUCUUUGAUACUUACUCACCUGUGGCUCGACUGACCACUAUUCGAGUUCUACUUUCACUAGCUUCCUCGCAUGGUCUUCUCGUUCAUCAAUUGGAUGUUAAGACUGCUUUCCUAAAUGGAGAGUUGGACGAGGAAAUUUAUAUGGAACAACCAGAUGGGUUGGUAAUAGAUGGUCAGGAAGGGAAAGUGUGCAAGUUGCUGAAGUCUUUGUAUGGACUUAAGCAAGCACCCAAACAGUGGCAUGAGAAGUUUGAAAGAACUUUAACAGCUGCAGGCUUUGUUGUAAACGAAGCUGACAAAUGUGUGUACUAUCACCAUGGUGGGGGCGAGGGAGUUAUCCUUUGCCUGUAUGUUGAUGACAUACUGAUUUUCAGAACAAAUCUGAAUGUUAUUAAGGAGGUCAAGGAUUUCCUAUCUCGUUGCUUUGAGAUGAAGGAUUUAGGAGCGGCUGAUGUCAUUCUGAACAUCAAGUUGUUGAGAGACGAUGAUGGUGGGAUUACAUUGCUUCAAUCUCACUAUGUGGAAAAGAUCUUGAGUCGCUUUGGCUACAGUGACUGCAAGCCCUCUCCAACACCAUAUGAUGCUAGUGUGUUGCUUCGAAAGAAUCAAAGAAUUGCUCGAGACCAAUUGAAGUAUUCUCAGAUUAUUGGCUCGCUUAUGUACUUAGCCAGUGCUACAAGACCUGACAUCUCUUUUGCUGUUAGCAAACUGAGUCGGUUUGUUUCAAAACCAGGAGAUGUGCAUUGGAAAGCUCUAGAGAGAGUUUUGCGUUAUUUGAAAGGCACUGCGAAUUAUGGAAUUCACUACACUGGGCACCCAAAGGUGCUUGAAGGGUAUAGUGACUCAAACUGGAUCUCAGAUGCUGAUGAGAUAAAGGCCAGGAGCGGGUAUGUAUUCACUCAUGGAGGUGGCGCUGUUUCUUAGAAGUCUUGCAAGUAGACCAUCUUAACGAGGUCAACAAUGAAAGCAGAACUCACAGCACUAGAUACAGCUACGGUCGAAGCAGAUUGGCUUCGUCGGCUCUUGAAUGACUUGCCGGUUGUUGAGAAACCUGUGCCGGGUAUCCUUAUGAACUGCGACAAUCAAACUGUGAUCACGAAAGUGAGCAGCUCAAAGGAUAACAUGAGUCAUCAAGACACGUUCAGAGAAGGUUAAAGUCUGUCAGGAAAAUGAAAAACUCCGGAGUUAUUGCAUUGGAUUAUAUCCAAACGUCUAAAAAUCUGGCAGAUCCUUUUACUAAGGGUCUAUCACGUAAUGUGAUAGAUAAUGCAUCGAGGGAGAUGGGUAUGAGACCCACAAUAUGAGUUGUCCAUAGUGGUAACCUAUUCUUUGUGAUCGGAGAUCCCGUGAAUUAGAUGUGGAAGACAAGCUGUUGGUCAACUGAGAGGAGAGUAUGCUUACUAUUCACAAUACCACUCCAUUUGAUGCAAUACUCUCCUAAUCUGCAUGGCAGGCUGAUGUAUAUCUUAAUGUGUUCUAAGUGGCUCAUUUAAGCAGAGAUGUUAUCCUGCAGAACAUCUUUUGAAGAACACACAUAUAUGAGUCUGAUUGUCAAACGUCGCAAUCUAUGAGAGUAGGGUUCUCUCUAGUAAACUCAUGAAAAGUCACGGAGUAUGACGCAUAAGCUCCACCCGCGGGGAAGACCCAUGGUAGCCACGUAUCGGUCAAGGCUUUAUGUGAAGCUAGAUUCGCAGAAAACUUGCAGUUCAAGGCCCACUCCACUGUUCAAGUUGCUUACUAGUGUAGCAUAGAGUUCUAGGUGGAAGUUUAACUUAACAGUCUCCACUGCAGUACCGGUAUAUAAAACAGUGUUUUGGAACCAAAGGCAAAUUUUGUGUGCCUCUGGGAUCUGGUGGGGGAUUGCUGGAAUUUUGUCUAUUUUGGGCCUAGCCCAAUAGCAGUUUCAGAAAUUCCUAAUAAAUCCUAGAGGCCCACGCAGCCCAUUCGUAAAAGGCAAGAGGUGGAACUAAAGUUUAGUCCCACAUUGCUAGUUUAGAGGGAGUUGGACCAUUUUAUAAGGGAGGUUCUUUCCCCACUUGUAUGAGCAUGAGAACAAGAGGGACAUCCACGCGCGCUCCUCCUCCGCCGCCCGCCUCGCCACGCCUCGUCACGACGCGCCGCGCCGCAGGUUGCGGGAAUGCGUCGAGCCGAUGUCUAAAUUUUUGCCACGCACUACGGGUAUACGAAAGGUCUGAAAAGAUUUUUGCGAAAGUGGAGUUCGAAUGCGAACGGUGCAGCCCUUCGGCUGCUGGCUGUUCGCUUCAUCUCCGUCUCUUCGUUUUGCCCUCUCGCCUCCUUCUGUUGCGCCUAUAAAAGGGAGGUCGCUCCUCCCAGAGAGACGCACCAGAACUACUCCUUCCCUCGCCAUCGGUUCCAUCUCUGAGCUGCUGCUGUCUUCCUCAUCCUGGCUUGCGGCGUGCACCGCACGUCCGGACAGUAGGCCUCUGAAACCGCACCUUUUGAGUCAUGUACGGGACGCGCUCAGUGCGACUACUGGCUGGUUCAUCACGGACGGUCCGGUCGCCGACGACUACUUCCCCGACGACGACUUCUUCCCUAACGUCCACGACCUCCUCGACGACAUGGCAGGCGAGGACACCGACCCCAAGUCCAGCGCUUCUGCUGCUGCUGUCCCGUACGUGUUCUUCUCCUUUCUUCUGCUGCUGCUAUCCCGUACGUGUUCUCUCCUUUCUAUUAGAGGUCCUGCUGCAGUUUCUUGUUCUAGUAUUUGCCUUAGAUAUGUUAGACUCUAUUUCAUAUAUGCAACUUGCUAUACUGUCUGCUCUAGAUAUGUUUAGUUACAGUUCAUAUAUGAAUAUGCUGUUUACCUUCUCUUUGUCAAAUCGCAUGGCUUGUUUUAUCACUACUAUUCUGAUCAUGCUUUAUCUAGUAUUUCUGUUAAUAAAAUCAUUCGGUAAAUUGCUCAUAUUUCCAACAGCUUUCACCUCACUCUGUUGUUAACAUGGCUAGAUCUGCAAUCCUUUUGGGGGAUUUUGAAUAGUAGGAAUGAUCGUAUGAUCUUUUAAUUCUGACCGUUGGAUCGUUCUUAAACAUUUUUUAAGAAGGAUUUUGUGCGACAUUCGGGACUAGACACUACUUUGUACCGAGGGAGUCAAAUCAAAGCUAGAGGGCUUUGACUCACUCAUCGUACGUGGCAUCCGCGGAGCUCCAAUGGGGUUGUCAAUGGCAAUCCAACCAGGUUGAUGACAAUCGCCAUGGUGCCACCCGCUCUUCCUUACUCGGAGAACGCCUAGCACAUCACACAACUACACGACGGGGCUUUGGAUAGAGUUGUUGCUGUGUACCGAGCAUGUAAUUGGUUUCUCUUUGGUGUAGUGGUAAUAACUUUAUCUGCAAUUUUUUUAGUUUCAUUAACUUUAGGUUUUCGUUGCCGCAAAAAAAAACUUUAGGUUUUCGUUAGUAGGCUAGACAGUUGAAUCAGAAGCUCGAACCGCUUUCUGUUGUUCUGUUUGGUCUCAUUUAUAUAUAAUAAACAUGGAAAGAGAGAAAUCAUCUGUUUUUCAAUAAUACAUUAUGGAUGGGCUCUCUGUGGCCUUAGAGUGAAGGAUGAUCUGCUGCAAAGAUGAUGUAUGUUUCCGAUAUUUAAUAAUUCAAAAUUCAAUAACAGUGCGAAUGCUCAUCUACACCCGGAGAAUAGACGUUCUUGUGCAUAUCCGAUUGAGUUGUUUCUCAGUGGUGCAAGGUAUGAAUUGGUGGUGUGGACCUACUCCAGCAAACUUGGUAUAUUUAAUUUGUCUAGUUAUUUACAACACUCUUGAACAUAACCUAGUAUUAUGAGCAUCUACAGUUAGAUACGUGAAAGUUAUAGUAACACCAUAAGAGUAUCUACAGUAGUUGAUAAGACAAAAAGUUUAGUUCCCCAUCAUCUUACAAACACAAAAAGGAAGAACAUGUCGUACGAUAGGUUAUCUCUUAGUGUUAUCUCUAACAAUUAACAUUUACGUGCUUAUGAAUUACCAACAUUGAACUGAAAACGUGUAAUUAAGACGAGAAAAUCCAUAGAAUGGUGAAAUUUUGCUUAUCUUUCUUUAUAACAUAUCCUCACGUUUGUAAGAGAAUAGAAACCUCUCGUUUAUUUUGCUCUCACCUAUAUCUACAUCAACGUUGAUUCUAAGACAACACUAUUGUACUACGUCUGAUCAUACAUAUCCUCUCCUACAACACCACAAAGCGCAAAGGUCCGGAGCUUUCCGCAUGGGAUGAUGCUGUAGCUCGCAUCCAAAGCGUAGCGUCCAAAUCACACGUACCACUAAAAGUGGCUAGGUCGACCAAAACUAACGUGUUUAGAAUGUCCUUAAGCGCAUCCGCAAAAAAAAAAAGAUGCCCUUAGGCAUGUACAAUGCAUAGCCUCAAGGUAAUGCCUCACAUGCCAUGUAGGAUCGGAUAUGACGUAAAGUAGGUUCGGAUAGGGAAUCGGGAUCCUCUCCAGGAGGCGGGUGCUUGAAGAGAAAAUGUGUGGUCCGGUGACAAAAGCUGAAAAGGUUGGAGUGAAAAGUAGAGAUGCAUGUGUAAUAGUCUUUAUUUUCUAUUUCUUAAUGAGGCCCACUAGUGGUAGCUUGCAUUGGGGAGGAAAAAUAGAUGUAGAUACCUCAAAUUACUUUUUGUCAUGGGGCAUAUGAAUCCAUAUGGCACCAUUGUACAUGCCCUUAAGCGAGAGCAGCCAAGCAAAGCCUCGGUGGACGUUGGCCCGUACGCAACACGAGAACCGCGUGAGCGAGCGCCUGCCCGAUCAUCCCUUGGUCGACGCAAACGACGCACCCGGUCCGUAGUCGGUCGCGCUGUACCACCCCAACCUGGGAUGUCCCGCACAGUCGCACACUCGCACGUACGGUGUGCCGCUUGGCUUUGGCAGGAAAUCCCGUCUCUGUCACUCCGUGGGCAUUUCUGCGAAGGCUGCCGAACGGCAUCCUGCGCAGCUUGAUUUUUCAGCAGCUAGCACUGCAUCAGCAACAAAACAUCAAGGGAGCCGGGUUUUUUUUUUAAAAAAAAAAAUCUGGUUCCUACGAAAACCCGGGCGUUUCAGACAUGCUUAACCACGGUACCACGCCGGACGUGCAUAUCGCAGACGCCAUGCACGUGAACCCGCAGCGCCAGAAGAAACACGCAUGGUGGAUGUACUGCGUGCGCACAGUAUACAGACGUACGUAGCGUAGCGUACGGCCCUCGUCGAGGACCACACGCGCGCGCGCGCGUCGAUCGACCGACAGUGGCACAGCGCAGUGCCGCUCCUUUUCGUACGUGCCCCUGGCAAGCUGGCGAAGCUCAGAGCAACAGCCAGACAGGCUCGACAACAACGGCUUAUCUCCAUCGAUCCACUGUAGCACGUUUGCCGCUGCACGCCGGCGAGGCGAUCGACGACGCGAGCCUGCCCGUCACCACAAUUUAACCACCCGGCUCCGCCAAGGCAGCCGCCGAACUUCAUCCGGAGAUGAGAUGGAUCUCCCGGGAUGCCGUUCGCUCCUCGCCAGUUCCGGGAUUACGUACAUUGGGGUGAUUUUCUCCGUUGAGUUCGACCAUACAUUAGCUGUUGCUCGAUCCCAUCCCAGGGAAGCGUGAGCUGUCGUGACACAGACAGACGUGCACGUAAUGUGCGGCGGCGUCAGGAUAUUGGCAGCCGCAGCUAUCAUAUCAAUCAGCAUUCCCCUCCCCUCCCCUCCUCCGUCAUGUUCAAUUUCGGGCUUGGUUUUCUCCGUGAUUUGAGUCGUCCAUCAAAUGCACCAGCUAGCUGGACCGAGACGCUGGAGGAAUACAUAUUUCGGCAACCAUAUGCUGGAAGGAAACGUACGCCGGCCGGAGCAAGGCAAGGAGUAGGGAUGCCCGUGUGCUGGCGGCAUGGACUAGUGGCUGGUGUUGGUGUGCACCGCGAGCCGGCCGCGUGUGGCGUGGAUGACAGCAUUUAGCCGGCCGGCAUCCAGUCGGUUAAGGUUGCCCAACCGCGACGUCUUUUUUGGGAUAAUGGAAAGAGGUUGAAAUUUCCACCUCUUCAUUCUCACAGCUGCAAAACAGCUCAGAAACCGCGACAUGUCACAUGGACUUUUUUAUUUUCACGUCGACUUUGACACUGAUAGCUAGCGCAUCUAUGUGGGUGGUGGUGCGCGCGUGCUCUUGGUCAAACGGGAAUGCUCGUGCUCAUGAGCAAUUCGACAAGAAAAACAGCUGACAUCGAACAAGCAUACCCAUUGCGAUGCGUUGAUAAGUUGAACAUCAUGUUAGUGCUCAAUUAUAGGCAGGGUACAAUCGACUCACUACUUCACUUUGACUAUGCAUCAACCAGCGGGCAUGAUGUGUGGGAUGGCAACAUUUUUCUUAAUUAACGACAUGAGGCGAAUAUUUUGCCUUUGUUUCAAAAACGCUAUGCAUCAACGAGGCCAUUCAAAUCGCAAUGCCUUGACUUGUACUCCCUCCGUCCCAAAAUUCUUGUCUUGGAUUUGUCUAGUAUCCGUAUCUAGACAAAUCUAAGACAAGAAUUUUGAGACGGAGCGAGUACUUCAAUAGCUAUAAUUAGGAAAUAUGUUCACUCAUAGGAAGCCUAAUUAAUGAGAAAAAACACCGUGCUACUUUUGGUACAUGAUAUGACUCUUGUCGCCAGAUCUGAAAUAGGGUGUUGAUUUUGGCCCACAAUGUUGAUUAUAGUACUCGUUGAACAUAAAUUUAGCAUGUAUAUAUGAUUGGGGGACAACAUAUAUUGUACAAUUUAUUUACGGGCACUAUACUAAAGAACUAAACACAUAGACGCAUAAAGGGCCUCUUUGGUUCAGAAGAUUUCUGAAGCAUAUGGCUACGUCAAACAUAACAAUCGAAUGUCACGGGAUGUUGAGUCAUACUACUACAUGAAUUAAAAACACGAUAGUGUGUAAUAGAUUGUUUGGUUGCCCAGCAGAAAAAACACACAUACAUUUUUCUGAAGGACUGAUGUAUCACAUAUGUCGUGUUUAUCAUAGAAAAACAACGGAAAUUUUUCAUGAGGUUGAACUAAAAAAAUAGUUUGACAUUAUAUACUAAAUAGGCCUUAUAAUACAAGUGCAGUGUUUUGAUGCUCUCUUUUUUGAAACAUUCAAAAAUCGCAUUUUAAAGUUUCGAAACUUUUCAAAAAAGAAAACACCUAUUUGUCUUGUUUGUGUAGCUCACGUGUUAAUGUAGUUCGCCGUGAAAACUUGCACACAUGACGUAUACAUACAUCCACAUGAUACUAUGAUGUUUUCCCCCAGAAUUUUUUAAGCAUCGAGGCAUGUUUUAGAAAAUAUCAAAAACAAAAACGAGCUCCAUGGAGCUCGAGCAUCAAAAGACAUUUCUGUUGUAAGAGCACCGAUGGUUCUAUUUUGCUCUAAGAAACGUGAUCCUACAAGAAUUACUAUGGAAUCUUUAUGAACCAAAGAGGCCAUAAAAAUGAAAACAGUAAAUUUUUUGGUCUAUUUUUUCAAGUUAAUUUGGCACUUGCAAGCCAAGAUCGAAACAUUUUGUUCUUAUCCGAUAUGCGAGGCCAAAACCUCAUCUCAUCUGGGAAACUGGGCGUCCGUUUUUCGAAACCCACGUCCGAAAACGAACCGCUUCUCUCUCCUUUUCGAAAGAAAGGUACAGCGGUGGCUGGCAUGGGGCGCUCCUCUUUACCCGAAAGGAGCGGACCGGGCCGGCCCCAUCCACGCCCGAUCGCCAGCAGGCGCGGGAGCAGAGCAGACGACAGCCGAGGAAGGAAGGAAGUCGCUGGGCGCCAAUCCCAACACCUCCUCCAACGCUAGGCUCACAGCCUAGCCGGUAGCCAGCCCCACACUCCCAUCGCACACCCUACUGGUGCUGGCCUCGCUGCGCGGCCGGUGGGUGACUGGUGGGCGUGCCGGAUGGGCAGGGCAGGGAGACCGGCCGUACUCCCCCACCACACCUGCCAUUGCCAUGCCCCCACCCCUCAUGCACCUCAUGGCUGUGCCGUGCGUUCCCUGUUCCUCCGCUUCACAAGUCCUUUUCCUUCAAAAAAUAAGGGCAACCUUGCUUGCAGGGUUGCCUUGACCAGUUGCUCCUCCAAGGUUCCAAAGGCCAGGCCAUGCUUUGGUUCAUCUGAAAACCACAGUUGUGGACAGUCGUUUCUGCUACCAUUUGCAAAAGCAUGUCGCAUGGCAAUAAUGCUUUGGAUUUUGGUUUAUCCUCUGCUACCAUUUGCAAAAGCAUGUCUCAAUCGCAAAUGAGUACUACUAGUUCAUCUUUUCACAUCUUGUGUUCUACAAAGGUCAAACUUGAAAUGGAGUAGUAGGAGGGAGGAGUAGUAGAUCACAAAGGCUCUCGGUUUCAUUUCAUUGAUAGAGGGAAACACAGCUAGCAAAGGAGGCUAAAAGUGGAGUAGCCAACUAAAAAAUCACAACCACACCACACUGCCGCUCACAAAAAAGAAGGCGAUCUGAACCAACUACUACUAACCCAUCGCCAAGAUCGAACUGCUACGGCCGCAACCAACUAAAGAACCAGCUAAAUUCUCGGCUACUUUGUACAGUUUGCUCGUCGGAUCGGAAUGAGAUGUUUGCCGCCCGGCCACCGGCGGUCACCGGAGGACGUCCGACCGCAGGUGCGAGAGCUCCUUCCUGAGCUUGUGCGAGAAGAGCCUGCACGCGUCCAUGCUCAGGUCCACGGCCGCCGCCAGGGCCACGAACGCCGCCGCGUCCUCCGCGCACCCGACGUGCGCCACCCCGACCUCCACCGUGGGCUUGCUGCACCGACCCUCGCCUUCCACCGAGGCUGACAUGACAAAGCCGCGGUAGUUCCCCAGAGGCCACUGGCUGAAGUCGCCGCUGCCACGCGGGCUGCAGCCCGGGGUGCUCCCCCGGCUCAGCGGCUGCGCGGCGGUCAGGUCGAGCGCGAACUUGCCGCCCUUGGACGCGGCGAUGGUGGAGUCCGCGAUGGGGACGGCGUGGUCCACGCCGGGGACGAGGAGGUCGAAGCGGUAGCCGAGGCUGUCGGACGACCCAGCCCCGCCGCGCUCCCGCCAGCACUCGAGGCGGCCCCACGGCUCCCACGCGCCGUCGCCCGCGGGCCGGAGGAUGAGCCACGCGCCCGGGUUGGAGCGGCUCACGCGGUCCGUCCCCGGCGAGGCCACGAACGGGGUCACCAUGGAGGCGAGCGCGACGGGGGAGCCCGAGAGGUCGUGCACCGUGACGGACCACCCCUUGCGCUCCUUCCCGGCCGCCUCCCGCUCCGUCUGCGCGACGGACCUCCGCAGGUCGCUGUUGGUGCGGCAGCCGAACUUGCAGGUGAACAUGGGCUGCUUCAUGCUGCCCCGGACCUGCAUCACCUGCGGGCUGCACUCCGGCUCGCCGUCGAACUCGAACAUGAACCGCGGGUCGGGCUCGGCGCGGACAGUGAGGCUGAGCUCCGCGGCCGCGGACCCGCCGCCCUUGCCGCCAGCCCCGCGCCUCCCGACGGAAAUCCAGCCGCUGUGCAGCACCGCGGGCUUGGCCUCGGCGCCCUUGAGAUCCAGCGAGAUGGUGGCCUUCCCGAGCAGCCGCCCGGAGCUGACGCCACAUGUAGUCCCCUUGCGGCCGGCGUAGACGGACACCUUGAGCGUGGCGGCCCCGCGGGAGGGGGAGAAGAGCGAGGGCUUGCGGGCGAACCACUCCAAAUCGGCCUUGGAGAGGUGGAAGGCCGCGGCGAGGGCGCCGGACGGGGGCUGCUCGGCGGCGGCGUCGGAGAGCACGAGCGGGGCGGCGGCGGUCUGGCAGGCCAUCUUGCCGAGGCGGAUCUUGAUGUAGCAGGGCGAGGUGGAGGGGUGGACGCCGGCGCCGGCGCCGGCGGCGGGCGGGGCCACCGGCAUUCUGAGGGCGAGGUUGCCGACCAGCACCCGCACGAACGGGCACGGGUCCAUGGCGCCGAUCGGCCAGGCAGGGUUGGAUCCGCGGCGAGCGGAGGAGGCGAGGGCGUGGGUUUGGCUCGGCUUGGAGACCCGGGAGAUAAGGUGGGAAGGAGGGAGAGAGAUUGGCGGGUGUAUAUGGGGCGGGGGGCGCGCGGCCAGGCUGGAUCCCGCUGAGCCAUGGCUGUAACCGUACACCACACCAGUCGACCCGGCUGGCGAUCGCUCUCUGCUGGGGGCGCGGUGUCAGUGGGGGUGAGGGGCGGGGUGGUGUGUGGGGGGUGAAGGGCGUGGGCGAGCUGGAGCCUGGAUGGAUGGGUCCGAGAGUGGUUGUGCGGAUGCCGCGCUGUGCCAGACGCUUGGUUUGGUUUGGUUUGGUUUCAUUCCUUCUUUUUCUCGGCUGGGAGUGGGCCUAUGCACGCAAUAGCUGGGCCAGCCGGCAAGUGGCUGGUUUAGCUCGGGUUCCACUGUCAGUGGUAGCAUAGGUACUGUAUUUUGAGAGGAACAGUGUCUUUCUACAAUGUUGUCGAUGCAUUUUACAUUUUUACUCGUAUAUUCGUAGAAGAAAAUAGCAAUGUCAUGGCUAAUGCUCCAAAACAUUGGGUACGCCAAAUUGAUCAAGAAAACAUUGGGUAUAUAAUUGAAUUUGUAUUCGAACCAAUUUUAAAGUACAUGACUUACAAUGGUUAAAUAACUCAGAAAUUCUCUGGCCAUUUCUACAAAAUAGCAAAGGAUGUGCAAAAAUAUCGAUAGAUGUAUACAUAUAGCACUUCCUUGUCGCAAGAGUUCAAACCCUAGCUUUUUUUUCGGAUAAUAUUUGCAUUACUCACAAUCAAGAAUUACACUGACAAUGUCCAGAAGUUCAUUUGGAUCAAACCCAAGCCACACAACUCUUCGGCAUUGUGAUCUUCCAAAACUUGCCAGGAAAUGACUGGCAUAUUUUUUUGUGCGUCAAACAUGAGUAAUACAAGAAUUACGCUCGGUCAAACUUUCUUUCAUCUCCUUUAUCAAAAAGACAUAUUUUGAUCUAUUGGUAUCUCCACUUUGCACCAUCUUGACUGCUUCCAUACUGUCAGAUUCAAUAUAAAUUGGUAGAUUGCUCCGCUGCACGCCAAAGCAUUAGCCCCCCGCGCCCGUAUAGCAAGAAUCUCGGCCUAUGGAACAUCAUCGCAAUCAAAUAAAUACAUGCAUGAGCUGAAGACAAUAUUACCUCCAACGUCUCUCUCAAGAUCAUUCCUGUGCCGACAACCCCAUUUAACAUAGACCCAUCUGUGUUCAGCUUCACACGUUCAGCCGUCGGUGAUUCCACGGGCUAAGGACCAACCGCUUUAAGGUGGGUAGAGCUUUUGAACUAGGUGUCGUACUCAUCAAUUAGCUCAUAAUUUGUUCAUCACUUGUCUAAAUUUAACGCUAUAUUUUGUAUCAAUGUUGUUGUACGUCAACCUGCCCCGCUUACAUCCCUAGUACCCACAUGAAUCUUCAAGCCUUGUUACCCCUGUGUGAGUGUGAAAAUGUGCAUCUACACGUUGUGCAUGAGUGCAUGGUAUUGUUCACAUCAUGACAUUUUUUGCUAGCAGCCUAGCAAGACAAAUGUCGCUACUUCUAUGGCAUCACUUUCAUGCCACGCUUGCAUCAUGUCCGGAUACUUAUCCAUUAUUUUGCCUUACCACAUUAUCUAAAAACAUUUUUUGCCAAGUUCUAUCAACAUGAGCUUAAUCAAACUUUAAAUGCAUGCCGCCACCAUGGUCCAUGGCUACGAUAGGUGUACGUAAAACACAAAUCUUUGGCGAGAUCGAAAUUUAGCUUUAUAUCUUCCAAAAUACCUAGUCAACACAACCAUAGCAAAUAUAGCUGUAAUGACUAAUGACUCGAGGCAUUGUCCAGAAAUUAAAUAAUUAAAUACGUUUGCUAAUAAAUUAACAUAGUCAAAGCAUGACUACGAUCGCAUCGGAAAAGCAGUAACCACCACUAGCUCAAGGCCAGCUAUGGCACACCCCCCUCCACCUGGGAUCAUCAGUAUACAAAUGAUCACUAUUUUACUAGAGCAACGGGAUCGCAACCGUGCCAGCGUCGUGUGGACUGUAGAAGUGCGGCAGUAGAAGUGUAUUUUGCGCUGGCGCCGGAAGCAUUUAACGUUGGGAUCUCAGGUACCCGGCGUCGUCGCUUGCGGAUCGCUGUCAUGUGCUGCAGGGCGACAGCGUGCGGCCUGCGAGCUUUUGCACGAGCGCCCGCACGCCGAAUGUUUUCAAGAGAAGAAUCCAAUGCUAGCUCCAAGCGGGCCGCACGACCCGUUCAUCCAAAGCUGGUGGGUGUGGGUGUCAGUCAGCUCACUCGCCCACUGCCGUGCCCGGCUGGAAUCCAGGUACUAUCGCCGCACGGAAAACCCUUUUACUAAUCCCGAUCGAUCCGGCGCAUGCGCGCGCGCAUGUGAGAGCACAGCGCGGCAGAGAGGAGAUGAACUGCACGCACGGGCGCCGGAGCAAUUGGCAUUAGAAAAGCGCCUGUGCGUGCCGACGUGCCGUGCCGCGCUGUCCGCGACGCACGGUGGAUGGCCUGCACAUAUCCGUAAGCCGUCGUUAAUCAUUCAUUUCCCUCCAGCGCCAUAAACUAAUCCGAACCACUGUACCUUCUCUCGAUCGUCCACGGGUGCAUCCCGCCCUCGCCCUCGCCCUCGCCCACGGAAAGCGGUGCAACUUGCGCUGCGCGGGCCCGCAUGGCAGCGAGAACAUGUGCGAUCUUGACGGAUGAAGGAGGAAGAGGCGUGGUGGAGCGGGAACGGUGCGCUGGCUGCGGCGUCGUUGGAGUCCAGGCUGGGGACAGCUGGGGGGGAUGGGCACAGCGGGAGGGAGGGCCCUAGGUGGCGCUAUCCGCCUCCGGAAUUCAGAUUCCGAUCUCGCCUCGCCCCGCCCCGAUAAAAUUCCGGGCCGCGAUUGGCCGAUCGCGCCGGGGCGGGACGGGACGGGGCCUAGUGGGUGCUGGACUGCGGGCGGGCGCGCGCUGUGUUGUGCGCCAGCGCUUCGACCACCUGUCCCAGCGGGGCGCCCGGGCCGUUCCGAUUGAUUUUCGUCGAGUGCUCCGGAGCCCGGACCGAUGGCGAAGCUUCCCCGCCCUGCGUCCACAUCCGCGGCGUCGGCUGCUUCGGGCGGUGACGCCGCGACACCUGUGCUGUGGAAUAACGGCGUGUGCAUCACAUGGAUGAUCGUGGUAGCCUUUUCUCCACGGGCCUGUCACGUUGCGGGAGGGUUAACAGUUUUUGUCCGGCUGCACUGGCGAGCAGGCAUCUCCUUCCUUCUCCCACAUCGUGUCGCCGCCAGGUUAGCACAAAGGCUGUGGCCGGGACUGGGUCUCUGAUUCUAAGAUGAUGGACACGUGCAGGUGUGUGGGCAAUCGGGCAGCACACAAGUUUGCGAGUCCAUGACGAAAUGGAUACGUACGUAGUCACCUCGCUGCACACUGCCAUUAGGUGAUUCUUCAGGCCUUUGGGCCAACCAGUUUAGAACAAGAGGGCAGCAGAAAGAUUGUCGCCCUGCGUAAUGGAAAACCGCUAAUACGGUGGUACGUUUUUCUUUUUCCUAUUUAUAAUUUCGCCAAAACAAUGCUCUAGUAGGUUGAAAUCCAUAGGGGAGGAUCUGAACAAAACGGUGACAUGGCUCCACAAUGGCGCCCUCAGGUUGGUAGGUUGAGUAGCAGGGCAGGAUAAGAGGAGAAGAGAUCAUGACAAGAGAAAGGAUAAGAGUAAGGGAUGUGGGGUAUCUGCUCCCGAACUCAAAUGCUCCCUCAUAAAUAGUAAAAUGAAAAAAAGUAAAAAAAAAUUCAAUUUGUGGUUAACUUUGACAGAUGUUUUGUAUGCUUGCAAAAUUUCAGCACAAGAUGACAUUCGUUGAUGUUGUGGCGAAAAAAAAACCGAUGCUCCAAAGUUGCUAGUUUUGAAAAUAGUUUGGACCGCUGAUUUUAAUUUUUUUCGCCACGACUUCCACAAAAGUCAUUUUGCGCCGAAUUUUGGUAUGCAUGCAAAAAAAAUGUCAAAGUUUGCCACACAAAAAAUUCAGAUUUUUUGAUUUUGCUUUUACUAUUUUUGGAUUUUGCUGUUUAUGAGGGAGCAUCUGAGCUCGGGAGCAGAAUAUGACUUUCGAAGAUUAAGUGAGCUUACCUACGACUCUCGGCUGAACAGUUCAGUACAAAUACGUUGUGCGACCUCAACCAUUGAGCUGCCAUCGAGGAUCAAGCUCGACGAGCUGGGGCUGGGGGUGAGGGGAGUUGGUGAUGAGGACGAUGGUGAGUCGGUGGGGAAGGAGGAGGAGCUCGUCGACAAGCCGCUAGCCUACCACUGCCUGUUAUUGAGCUUGGAAGGAAAGAAGUGGGGAGGGAAAGAAUGGGGCGUCGGAGGACUAGGGUUGCGCCAUUAUUACCUCUUAAGAGCAUCUGCAACCAACCACAAUUACCUAAUCUGUCCGGGCGCAUCCGUGGACGAUGACCGAGCAGGCAUCCAAAGUCCACGUCCAUAAUCGGAUCCAUCAAACCAAAUCAUCAAAUCCAUACUAGUCUCAUGCAACGAUAAAUUUUACAUAUGUAGUUCACACAUGCCAUUGGACUACCAAAAAUUGACGUGCUCUAUUAACUACGAAUGAUACGAUAAUGUAAAUAGUUCAUCCAUGGUUGCCUUUUCCCUUUCGCUUGCUGUCCCCCGUGCGAUAGUAGCCGUUGAAGACGCAAUUCAAAUCGAGGCAGAUCUGCUCGCUGCCAGAGCUGUCCGAUCCGUCAUCAUGCUUGUCCUUCUCCUCCUUGGGGGCAGUCUGGGCAUGGCACAGACAACACUGCUUUGAUCUUUAGCCAUCGCCUUGACCGCCCUCCUACGCAGCUUCUUGGCUAUGCAGGCAUGGAGGGCUUCCUCCACCUAUGGCUCGUGGGUUGCCGCCGCCGCCACCUCCGCUUGAAGGCGCGCCGCAGCCUCGCGCGGCCGGCACACUGCACCUCCUCCUUGUUUUGGCCGCGGACCAUGGAGGCAGAUAUGGCCGCGGAUCAUGUGGACGAAGCGCCACCUAAAUGGUUCCGCUGGCACAACGGGGUUGCCCUGCCAUGUGGUGGUCUCCGAUACCGGCUAGGCCGCGGUCACACGACGUGAUCCACCGGCCCCGGCGGAUCCUAGUGCCAUUUGCGCUAUGGAUUCCCGCCAGAUCGAUGAAACCGCAUGAGGAUGCACUCCUCCCGAGAUUGUCAGAGAGCAGCGAGACGCCCAUAUGCUCCUCGGAACUGCAAGGGAUGAGCUCCCAGUCCUCGAAUUCAGACAUCACGAAGUAAGUUCCGGUGACUGUCAUGAAGGACGGAACUUGGGUAUUGUGGGAGGGGACUGGAGUGGAGUGCUGCUAGUGUUUCAUCCAGAAUGCGGAUAGGGUCUAAUUUAUGUGGGGUCGGCCACAGUUGGCCGAAUCCGACGUGGCAGGCGCGUCCAGGCGUCCUCAUAUCCGCUACACAUAUGGGUUGGAUAUGGUAAGCAUUGGCCAGUUCAGGCGUUUGGGCCGGAUUUGCCAGCCACGGUUGGGUUGCAAUUUCGUGACCGGUCAAUGACAGGGUAGCCCACCCGGAUUUUAGGACGGAUACGAGGGGUCCUGCUGUAUCGUAUCCAAAACGCAUCGGUCAAGCAUACAUAAGUUGUUUUAAGAGUUAAAUACACUCUGAGUGCCUAAACUUGUCAUGUGCGGUCAGUUUAGUGCCUAAACUUGCAAAAUACACAAAAGUGAUGCCGCAACUUGUCCCGUGGUUCAAAUAGAGUGCCUCCAGACGUAUUCCGGGUAUGCACCGCCCGCGUGGCACGCCAGCGUGUCACCGGCCCACAUGUUAGUGGCUCGGGGCGACGGAGGGGCUGGGUGAGGCGCACAGCCUGGUUGUUAAGCAGAAAACCCCCUGGGCUUUAAUUAAUUCUCUCAAAAAAGCCCUCGAUCUGUAUAAGACUCGAUCCCCAAAUCCCCCUGAUUUGAAAAACAGAAACCAAAUCCCUAAACCUAGGUAGGCGACGGCGGCGGCGGUAGUGGAAUUCUUUGGUUGCUCGCCAGCGACGAGCAGUUGAAUGAGAGUAGGAGGCCAGGGCGCGGUGGGAGUAUGAUACGUCUCCAACGUAUCUAUAAUUUUUUAUUGUUCCAUGCUAUAUUAUAUUCUGUUUUGGAUGUUUAAUGGGCUUUAUUAUACACUUUUAUAUUAUUUUUGGGACUAACCUAUUAACCGGAGCCCCAGCCCAAAUUGCAGUUUUUUGCCUAUUUCAGUGUUUCGCAGAAAAGGAAUAUCAAACGGAGUCCAAACGGAAUGAAACCUUCGGGAACGUGAUUUUCGGAACAAACGUGAUCUAGAGGACUUGGAGUCUACGUAAAGCAAUCAACGAGGAGAGCACGAGGCAGGGGGCGCGCCUACCCCCCAGGCGCGCCCUCCACCCUCGUGGGGCCCUGAUACGUCUCCGUCGUAUCUAUAAUUUUUGAUUGUUCCAUGCCAAUAUUCUACAACUUUCAUAUACUUUUUGGCAAGUUUUUAUAGUAUUUUUGAGACUAACAUAUUGAUCCAGUGCCCGGUGUCAGUUCCUGUUUGUUGCAUGUUUUUGUUUUGCAGAAUAUCCAUAUCAAACGGAGUCCAAACGGGAUAAAAACGGACGGAGAUUAUUUUGGAAUAUUCGGAGAAUAUGGGAAGAAAAAUCCAUGCGAGACGGUGCCCGAGGGAGGCACGAGGCAGGGGGGCACGCCCCACCCCCCUGGGCGCGCCCCUGACCCUCAUGGACUCCCCGUAAGGCGGUUGAUGCCCUUCUUCGGCCGCAAGAAAGCUAAUUUUUAGGAAAAAUCACGGCGAAGAUUUCAGUCCAAUCGGAGUUACGGAUCUCCAUAUAUAUACAAAAAGGUGAAAGGGCAGCAGAUCAGAACGCAGAAACUGAGAGAAACAGAGAGACAGAUCCAAUCUCGGAGGGGCUCUCGCCCCUCCCACGCCAUGGAGGCCAAGGACCAUAGGGGAAACCCUUCUCCCAUCUAGGGAGGAUGUCAAGGAAGAAGAAGACGAAGGGGCCCCCUCUCCCCUUCUCUUCUGGUGGCGCCGGAACGCUGCCGUGGCCAUCAUCAUCACCGCAAUCUUCACCAACAACUUCACCGCCAUCAUCACCAACCCUUCCCCCCUCUAUGAAGCGGUGUAACCUCUCUCUUACCCGCUGUAAUCUCUACUUAAACAUGGUGUUGAACGCUAUAUAUUAUUUCCCAAUGAUGUAUGGCUAUCCUAUGAUGUUUGAGUAGAUCCGUUUUGUCCUAUGGGUUAUUUGAUGAUCAAGAUUGGUUUGAGUUGCAUGUUUUAUUAUUGGUGUUGUCCUAUGGUGCUCUCCGUGUCGCGCAAGCGUGAGGGAUUCCCGCUGUAGGGUUUGCAAUAUGUUCAUGAUUUGCUUAUGGUGGGUGGCGUGAGUGACAGAAGCACAGACCCGAGUAAGUAGGUUGUUUGCGUAUGGGAUAAAGGGGACUUGAUGCUUUAAUGCUAUGGUUGGGUUUUACCUUAAUGAUCUUUAGUAAUUGCGGAUGCUUGCUAGAGUUCCAAUCAUAAGUGCAUAUGAUCCAAGUAGAGAAAGUAUGUUAGCUUAUGCCUCUCCCUCAAAUAAAAUUGCAAUAAUGAUUACCGGUCUAGUUAUCGAUUGCCUAGGGACAAAUAACUUUCUCGUGACAACAAGCUCUUUACUAAAACUAAUUUAGUUGUGUCUUUAUAUAAACAGCCCCUACUUUUUAUUUACGUGCUCUUUAUAUUCUUUCAAAACUAUCUAAAAACACCUACAAAGUACUUCUAGUUUCAUACUUGUUCUAGGUAAAGCGAACAUUAAGUGUGCGUAGAGUUGUAUCGGUGGUCGAUAGAACUUGAGGGAAUAUUUGUUCUACCUUUAGCUCCUCGUUGGGUUCGACACUCUUACUUAUCGAAAGAGGCUACAAUUGAUCCCCUAUACUUGUGGGUUAUCAAGACCUUUUUCUGGCGCCGUUGCCGGGGAGCAAUAGAAUGGGGUGAAUAUUCUCGUGUGUGCUUGUUUGCUUUAUCACUAAGUAAUUUUUAUUUGCUGUUCUUAGUUGUUUUCUAUCUUUAGUUAUGGGUUGGAAACGUAAAAUACCAAAAAAAUUAGUUGUACCUACUGAACCAAUGAUUGAAGAACCACUCAAAAUCUAUCACACUCCUGAAGCUUAUUACUUGGAUCAUCUUCGAUCCCUAUGUGCUCGUGCUAAAACCCCAACUAGCUUACUUGAGGGCAAAUCUUUAGAUGAGCAUGCUUGUUAUGUGCGACACUGUAUAUCUAAAAAGGGAAACUUUUACUGGGUCAAAUUCAUCGUUUGCAAUGCUAUGCUUGGAAUUUAUGUGAAAUAUUUGAUUUUCUUGUUGUUCUGAAAACCCUAAGAAACACCUUCCCUACCAAUGUGAGUUUAUUGAUAAUGGAAUCGUAUCUUCGUAUGCUAAGGGUGUUUAUAAUUACUAUGAUUUUCAGCAAAUUGAAGAAUUUGUUGCUUUUAAGGGUGCUUACGAAAUUGCUUCUUUGAUUGAAACGUAUGAUGCUAUUCUUUACAAAUCUGAAAUUUUUGCCAUACUUAAAUAUUGCUAUGAUAAUUAUGCUUCUAAUGCCUAUGUUGAACCAUAUAUUGAGGACUACUCCGCUGUCCAAGAAGAGACUACUAUUUUGCUGUCGGAGUAAGUGGCCACGGGUAGCCUAACCGACUACCCCUGGCUCUUCAGAAAAUUUAUCAGGCCUUUGGGCCUUCAAGCACUCCAAGCAUUUGGGCCGCCUUCCCUGGCCGGCUACCACUAAAGCCGACUCCCGGAAGGCGACCCAGCCUCACCGACUCCAGGAAGCCGGCCAAGAAGGACGCCGGCUCCUAGAAGCCGGCCAAGACCACAACCACUCCUACAUAACGACGACCUGACGGGGCAUGGCCACAGUGCGGCCCAUGACCCCCGAAGCCCGAGGCGAGCAUGGCUACAGGGGGCCGUACGGGAGGGAUGUCUCCCGCGCGGCCCGGCACUGUAGCCACGCUAGCCACGACGUCAUCCACGACCCCCUCCUGUACGGCCCAGGACUGCGGGCCCCUUCAGCCAGAGAGAGGCGUGGAGGCGGCCCGGCUUUCCCUAGCCGGCCAGGAGCAUAGCCGGCCUCCAGAAGCCGGCGGCUCCCUUCCUCGGAGCAGGAGCCCCAUUAAGGAGACAAGACGAGGUGAGGCUACAGUGAUAGCCCCCGAGGCGGCCCACUGUAGCCACGCUCACCUCGACAAAGCCCUCAUCAUCAGAGGCACGGCUACAGUAAGCAGCCGCCGACAAAGCCCUAGACGGUGGGGCCGGCCUGUCGACCAAGUAGCCGGCAGCCGGCGGGACCCACCAGCCGGCGGGACCCAGUAGCCGGCGGAGAAGCCGGCGAGCAUAGACACUGACGACUGGGACCAGAUCCCAGUCGGAUUACCAUUGUACCCCCGGGGGGUAGGCCUAUAUAAACCCCCCGGAGCACCCAUGCAAAGGGUUGGCUUCUGGUUCGCACCUCUGCAUGUUUGGCUUCCAAGCAUAGCACACACACACACACCAUAGAUAGAGAGAAGCAAGAGCUAGCCUUUUUCUUCUUCUCCCUUGAUCCCAACAGCUCUAGGAGCGAUUGUAGCUACUCUUUAUCGAUCUAGUGAUCAUGCAGAGACCCCGCAGAGCAGGACUAGGGGUGUUAUCUCCUCGGAGAGCCCCGAACCUGGGUAAGAUUCGCCGGCGUGCAUGUCUUCGCCUCAUCCCGUUUCCAGGCACCGGCGACGUUCUAUUGGCUCCCACAAUGAUAAGCCAUCCCUUGGCAUAUGUCGCACCAACCACCCGACAUUUGGCGCCCACCGUGGGGCCAGGUGCACCGUUGUCCGGAGACCUGUUCUGGACGGGAACCCUCUUCCUUCCCCGCGAGCGCAGCUAGCCUGUUGCGCCCGAUGGCGUUUGCCCCGACGCGCUGCAAGGCGUCGACGACGCCUGUGCAGCGAGCCGCCUCGCCGAUCUGCUCGGAGAGACUCGCCUCUCCGACGAGCCUGCAUCCGACGCAGGCACCGAUUACCCCGAAAGCCGCCUCGUCAGCCUCCUCGACCAACUUCACGUCACCAGCGAGCCCGCUGCGGACAUGGAGUCUGUCGGCUCCACCGACCCGAUGCUCAUCGACUCCGACACCGCGUCGCUCGACGCCUACCCCUCCGACGUGGUGGUCUUCGACGACCCGCUCCCUCGAGCUGACAGCGGCAGCAGCGCUGUCACCGAAGUGCUGGUCAUCAGCCACGUCUCCAACUCGGGCGGGAGCGCCCGCGACGUUCAGCAAGCGGCGAUGCAUGACCUCUCCAUCCCCCUCCCGGCCGACGCCGACGCCGAGACCCUGGAGGCACGCCGUCUUGCCCUCAUCGCGGAGAGCAAGAAGAUAGCCUCGCUGAGGCCCACCAGCACGAAGUCGACCGCGCCGCCUUCGGGACGCCGCCGCCCAGCGGUCCGAGCCGAGCCGGCUUCGUCCAGAAGCGCGGCGCAGCCGUUGCCAGCAUGCUGGGCGCGGAUCGCCCCAUCUACGCCACCCCGCUCGAGAAUCUGCGAGCCGCUCAGGCGGCAGCAGAGGAGCUCAAUGGGCUGGGAGCCGAUGAGCUCUCCUACAUGACAAGACGGAUCCAGCAGCUGAUCGACGCGGCUGCAGAACGGCACGAAGCCGGCGCCCGAGCUGAUAGCCAUCCCCGCGCUGGGAACACGCUGCGACGUCCCGCUCGCCGACUGCGAGCGGCACGCGCCAGAAGAAAGACAAGGAGCCGGCUGCCAGCCGCAGCCGGACUCGCAUCACUAUCGAGCGCGACGCGGAUGGCCGCCCUCGGGCGGUCGAACACCAAGGAAACCUGCCGCCUCCCCCGCCUCGAAGAGAAAGACGCCUCACUCCGCCGCCCAUCACGCAUCCGACUCUUGGCGACCGACUCGGCCGCCGAGAAGGAGUCGGCGAGAGUGACGCCCGCCACAGGAUCGACCGCCUUGCUCGGUCCUUGGCGUUAGAAGAAGAAGACGAUGUCGGCCCGCAAUGCUUUGGCACCCGCAUCCGCGGCGAGCCCUUCCCCAAAGGGUUCUCGCUCCCCAGAGACACACCCAAGUACAACGGCUCGGUGAAGCCAGAAGAUUGGCUCAUCGACUACUCCACAGCCGUCAGCAUCGCCAACGGCAAUCGGCGCGUCGCCGUGAAGUACGUCCCCUUGAUGCUGCAGGGGACGGCACGCACGUGGCUCAACAGCCUCAAGCCAUACAGCAUCAACAGCUGGCUGGACUUCACCGAGGUUUUCGUCCGCAACUUCACCAGCACCUACAAGCGGCCUCCCAAGCCUCGCCAGCUCUCCCUCUGCGUCCAAGGGCCCAACGAGUCGACCCGCGACUACCUCACGCGAUGGGCCGAGCUCCGCAACUCCUGCGAGGGAGUGCACGAGGUCCAGGCCAUCGAGUACUUCACUGCCGGGUGCCGAGAGGGCACCCUCCUCAAGCACCGACUCCUCUGCGACGAGCCGGCUACCCUCGAUGAGUUGCUGAUCACCGCCGACAAGUAUGCCACUGCCGACUCCUCCAUGAAGACCGAGCUCCGAGUGGACGCCUCAGGGAAGGUAGUCGCUCCGGCUCCCAAGACGCCGGCUGGCGACCCAAACCUGCGCCCCUACCAGAAUGACCACAAGCGCAAGGGCCCCAUGCGGACUUCCUCCAGUCGGCAGGUGGCCACAGUUGAAGACGAGCAGCCCGAGGAGCGGCCCGCUCCCAAGAAGAAGGGAGGCCGGCCGCCCUGGCAGCCGUCCUUCUCCUACGAGCAAGCACUCGAUGCUCCCUGCAAGUUCCACAGCGGCGCGAAGCCGUCCAACCAUACAACACGUAAAUGCCACUGGCUCACCCGCAUCACCAAGGGCGAAGGGAUGGUGCCGCCUCCGCCUCCCGGCCCGCCGCCUCCAGCUCCCCAGCAGCCGGCGGCCCGGCCGGCAGUCGGCGCCAUCCAAGACGAGUUCCCCGAAGCGCACGACGCCUACGUCGUCUUCACGAGUCAGGUCGACGACAAGCGCGGCCGACGCCGGCAACACCAAGAAGUAAACGCAGUCGCCUCUAGCACCGCCGAGUUCAUGCACUGGUCGGAAAAGCCCAUCAGCUAGAGCCAGGCCGACCACCCAGAGGUGAUGCCUUCGCCUGGCUCCUAUGCUAUGGUCUUGGACGUCACCCUUGCGAUGGAGAGGCGAGCUGCCAGAUUUUCCCGCGUCCUAAUAGACGGCGGAAGCAGUAUCAACAUACUAUACCGCGACACCAUGGACAAGCUGAACAUCAAAGCAAAGCAGCUCAUGCCGAGCCGCACUGUCUUCCAUGGUAUCGUACCCGGCCUAUCUUGCUCUCCAAUCGGCAAGAUCAAAAUGGAUGUUCUCUUCGAAGACAAAGAUCACUUCCGCCGGGAAGCAAUAUGGUUCGAGGUGGUGGAUCUGGAGAGCCCCUAUCAUGCACUACUUGGCCGACCUGCUUUGGCCAAGUUCAUGGCUGUGCCCCACUAUGCCUACCUGAAGAUGAAGAUGCCGAGCUCAAAGGGGAUCAUCACGGUAGCCGGCGACUACAAGAAGUCCAUCGAGUGUGCCAUGGCCAGUAGCCGGCUGGCCGAGUCCCUCGUGGUGGCAGAAGAGAAGAGGAUGUUGGAACGGGUUGUGGCCAUGGCCGGCAAGCAGCCGGCCUUGUCCCCCAACCCCAAAGACUGUGAUGCGCAGGGCUCCUUCCAGCCUGCGAAAGAGACCAAGAAGAUGCCUCUAGACCCGGAACACCCGGAGAGGUUCGCCGUGAUUGGGGCGAACUUGGACAGUAAAUAGGAAGGCGAGCUCGCCGACUUCCUCCGUGAGAAUCGAGACAUCUUCGCAUGGUCCCCAAAGGACAUGCCAGGUGUCCCGAAGGAUUUUGCCGAGCACAAGUUACAUGUCCGAGCUGAUGCGAAGCCGGUCAGGCAACCCCUCCGCCGACUAUCAGAAGAGAAGCGAAGAAUCAUGGGAGAAGAGAUAGCCCGGCUCCUUGCAGCCGGCUUCAUCAUGGAAGUGUUCUUUCCAGAAUGGCUUGCCAAUCCAGUUCUGGUUUUGAAGAAGAAUAACAAGUGGCGCAUGUGUAUAGACUACACAAGUUUGAACAAGGCCUGCCCAAAGGAUCCGUUUGCUUUGCCACGGAUUGACCAAGUGAUAGACUCCACAGCCGGAUGCGAGCUGUUGUGUUUUUUGGAUGCAUACUCAGGGUAUCAUCAGAUCAAGUUGGACCCGGCUGACCGCCUGAAGACUGCCUUCAUCACACCCUUUGGAGCUUUCUGCUACCUGACAAUGACAUUCGGCUUGAGAAACGCCGGUGCCACUUUUCAGCGUUGCAUGCAGAAAUGUCUCUUGAAACAACUCGGCAGAAAUGCCCACGUCUACGUAGACGACAUUGUGGUGAAGACAGAGAAGCGCGGUACCUUGCUGGAAGACCUGAAGGAAACAUUUGCCAACUUGCGCCGAUUCCAGAUCAAGCUCAACCCCAAGAAGUGCGUGUUCGGAGUGCCAGCCGGCCAGCUGCUAGGCUUCCUGGUCUCCGAACGCGGCAUUGAGUGCAACCCUGUCAAGAUCAAGGCCAUCGAGAGGAUGGAGAUACCCACCAAGCUGCGAGAUGUGCAGAAGUUCACUGGCUGCUUAGCCUCCCUGAACCGAUUUAUCAGCCGACUAGGAGAGAAGGCUCUCCCCCUGUACCGACUCAUGAAGAAGUCCACUCACUUUGAGUGGAACGAUCAAGCCGACCAAGCCUUCCAUGAGUUGAAGAAAAUGUUGACCACUCCGCCUGUCCUGGCCGCGCCGACUGAGAAGGAGCCCAUGCUCCUCUACAUCGCCGCGACAAGCCGAGUCGUCAGCACUGUUGUUCUGGUCCAGCGCCCGGAGGAAGGCCGAGCCCAGCUGGUCCAGAGGCCGGUCUACUAUCUCAGCAAAGUACUGUCCAGCUCAAAGCAAAACUACCCGCACUAUCAGAAGAUGUGCUAUGGGGUGUACUUCGCCGCCAAGAAAUUGAAGCCCUACUUCCAAGAGCACCCCAUCACGGUCGUGUGCACUGCCCCGCUCGCCGAGAUCAUAGGCAGCCGGGAUGCAUCCGGCCGGGUGGCCAAAUGGGCCAUUGCCUUGGCGCCCUACACGAUCUUCUAUCAACCCCGCACCGCCAUCAAGUCGCAAGCAUUGGCCGACUUCCUCGUCGACUGGGCCGAGACCCAGUACCUACCGCCGGCUCCCGACUCCACCCAUUGGCGGAUGCACUUCGACGGGUCCAAAAUGCGCAUCGGCUUGGGAGCCGGCAUCGUCCUCACCUCUCCCAAAGGCGACAAGCUCAAGUACACGCUGCAGAUCCACUUCGCCGCCUCCAACAACGUGGCCGAGUACGAGGCGCUCGUACACGGGCUCCGGCUAGCCAAAGAGCUCGGCAUACGCCGGAUCCUGUGCUACGGCGACUCAGAUUUGGUGGUCCAGCAAUCAUCUGGCGACUGGGACGCCAAGGACGCAAACAUGGCAAGCUACCGAUUCCUCGUCCAGCAGAUGAGCGGAUACUUCGAAGGGUGCGAGUUCCUUCACGUGCCAAGGGCCGACAACGACCAAGCAGAUGCCCUAGCACGGAUCGGCUCCACCCGACAAGCCAUACCGACGGGCGUCUCCCUCCAGCGCCUCCUCAAGCCGUCCAUCAAGCCGUCUCCAGAGUCGGAUUCCAUCUUCGUACCGCCUGCGCCAGAAACAGCCGGAUCCGGCUCAAGAAACCCCGCAGGCGGCGCGGGGACUUCGACGACUGCCCCGGGGACUGACGUAGUCGAACCCGGCCCAGGGACUUCAGAACCCGGCCCGGGGACUGCAGCAGUCGGCCCGGGGACUGCAACAACACGAGAAGCGGUGGACGACUCCAAUGCAACACCCAACCCACCCACCCGAGUCAUGGUGGCCACGUUAACAGCAGAAGAAGUCACAGCUCCCUCAUGGGCCCAGCCCAUCCUCAAGUUCCUGGUCAGCAGAGAGCUGCCGGCUGAUGAGAUCGCAGCAAGACUAGUGCAACGACGAGCCGCAGCAUACACAAUAAUCAACAAGGAGCUUGUGAAGCGCAGCGUCACUGGAGUCUUGCAGCGUUGCGUCGAGCCAGAAAAAGGAGUGACAAUCCUCAAAGACAUCCACCAAGGCGAAUGCGGCCAUCACGCCGCCUCAAGAUCCCUCGUGGCCAAGGCUUUCCGCCAUGGGUUCUUCUGGCCGACUGCCUUGGAGGAUGCUAAAGAAAUAGUCAAGACCUGCAGAGGAUGUCAAGUCUUCAGUUCCAAACAACACCUGCCGGCUUCUGCCCUCAAGACCAUUCCCCUCACCUGGCCUUUUGCCGUCUGGGGACUGGACAUGGUGGGCCCUUUCAAGACGGCCCGCGGCGGCUUGACACAUCUACUCGUUGCUGUGGACAAGUUCACAAAAUGGAUCGAAGCAAAGCCGAUCAAGAAGCUGAACGGGCCGACUGCCGUGACAUUCAUCACCGACAUCACUACUCGGUACGGCGUGCCGCACAGCAUCAUCACCGACAACGGCACGAACUUCGCCAAAGGCGCACUGGCACGUUUCUGCGCGACACAGGGCAUCCGACUGGACUUAGCGUCCGUUGCCCACCCGCAGUCAAACGGCCAAGUCGAGCGAGCAAAUGGACUUAUCCUCUCCGGCAUCAAGCCCCGAUUGGUUGUACCACUGGAGCGAUCGGCCGGCUGCUGGCUCGAAGAGCUGCCGGCUGUCCUCUGGAGUCUGCGAACUACACCCAACAAGUCAACCGGCUUCACUCCAUUCUUCCUUGUGUACGGUGCCGAGGCUGUCAUCCCAACAGACAUCGAGUUCGACUCGCCUCGGAUCACCAUGUACACGGAGGAGGAAGCCAAAGAAGCAAGAGAAGACGGCGUCGACCUACUGGAAGAAGGCCGGCUGUUAGCCCUCAGCCGGUCCGCCGUCUACCAGCAAGGCCUGCGCCGCUACUACAACCGCAAGGUCAAGCCAAGAUCCUUCCAAGAGGGCGACCUUGUGCUCCGGCUGAUCCAGGGAACAGCCGGCCAGCACAAGCUCUCGGCCCCUUGGGAAGGCCCCUUCGUCGUCAGCAAGGCACUCGGCAACGACUCCUACUACUUGAUCGACGCGCAAAAGCCAAGAGCACGCAAGAGAGACGACUCCGGCAAGGAGUCGGAGCGACCAUGGAACGCAAGCCUCCUAAGACGAUUUUACAGCUAAAAAGCAGUAUGUAUCACGCUACCCCUUUUGUAUUAAAUUACAAACCAACAGGCCCCCCGAACAGUACUCGGGGACUGCCUUUUAUUUAUCUAUGAAUGACGAGUGUCAUUUCCAUGAAUGUAUUGUUACAUUUUGAACUCUUGUCCGGCACCGGGUCCGACUAGUCGGCCCGGGAACUGGCCGCCUUGAGCUAUAUUCUAAGUUGUUCCCGAAGUCAGCAAAGUAGUGUGCCGGCUCCCAAGUCCUCCCUUGUUGAAAGUCGCAGCUCAAAGAACUGACUGUCCGACUAGCAAGAGUAAAGACAGAAAAGACGCCCACACGAAAAACAGCUAAGGAACAACUAACCCAUAUAGCAAAUAGACGGCCUCCAUAUACGCCUGCCGGCUGUCACGGCAGCCGGCCGGCCGGCUUCCUAAAAAACUUAGCUUAAGUCCAGCAGAGCUCAAAGUACUUCCCCCUCCCCAAUCGGCCAGGCACUCCCCGGCUACAGUUUGUAGAACAACUGUUUGACUAGGGAGGCGGCAACCAAGGGAGGGCGGCAAAGGAAAAAAGCAGAAGGACAAAAAGCAAAAGUACAAGAAAAAGCCGAUUGCAUAACUUAUAUACAUAAAGCCGCCUAAAGGCUGGCAACAGACUUGAGUUUCAAUACACCCAGUGGGUGGAAUUGCGCAGACUUAACCAAACAUUGUUCCAAAGCAACAAGACAGGAAAACAAAAGAAAGAAGACUAAGGCAUGACUUGGAGGCCGAGCUGGUCGGUGAAGGCAGCUCGCCGGCUGAGGGGGUGGCCGCCUAGCUGGUCCCGGCUUGACCGCCUCCCGCGACAAGAGACGCACUCGCACGCGACGUAGUGCUGGAGGCGCGGUCAGGCUGGCCGGCUACUCCACCAGCCGGCUCGGCGUCUUCACCUUCCUCCUCCUCCUCUUCGCCCUCGUCGCUGGAGUCGAUCUCCUCCGCCGAGUCCUCGCCGUACGCCGGGUCCAGCCCGAACCAAUCUUCCGGCUGGGCGACUCCAUUGUCGUCCACCUCGGGGGCGAAGACGUUGGUGUCGGUGUACUCGGCGAUCGCCGAAGCCCGCCGAAUGAUGGCCGGCCGCGCCGGCUCCAGCUCCGCGUCGGCUUGCUGCCGCCAGGUAGCCAGCUGGUCCAGAUUCAUGCCUGGGUACCAGGCCUUGACGAACUCCAGUGCCCGCCCGGCUCCGGAGCGAGCCGCUGACGCCUUCCAAGCCUCGAAGCGGCCGACGGCCACCUCCAGCCAGUCAGCGGUCCGACUAGGAGUGCGCGGGAUCACUUGGCCGGGCCAGAGGGCGGCCAAGACCUGCGACCCGGCACGCUGAAGCCGGCUGGAUACGAGCCUGGAUCGCCAGGAGCUGCUCCUCCAGCGAGCGGCCGACGGUCGGCGAGAUCUCGAAGCCGGCUUGCCUCUUCGCCUGGCGACGAGCUUCGAUGGCCUGGUUGGCAGCAGUUGAGUAGCCAGGGAAGUACUCUGCGCGAAGAAGAAAAGAAAGAAGAACCCCAAAUCAGAAAAACAAGUCGAAGUAGCAGAUGGCAAGAGAGGAUGAAGGGGUAGACGACUUACCGUCAACCAGGUCCUCAAUCUGGCCAUAGCCGGAGACCAGGGUCUGCCUGGCCUCGUCCCAGCCGGCCGCCUCCGUCUCGAACUCGGCCUGGAGGGUGGCCUCGCGAUCCUGCGCAGCCUUCAGCGCAGCCUUGUGGCUUUCCUCCUGGUCGGCCAGCUUCUUGACCAGGCGGUCGCGCUCCUGCACCAAGGCGGCGAGCUCCGCGUCCUUGGCACGAAGAGCAGUCUGGGACUCCCCCAGCUGUGCCCUCAGACUGGCGUUGGCCGCUGCAGAGAUAGAAGAACAAGAAGAGCAAUGAGAAGUUAUCAAGGAAGAUCCGAGCCGACUGCUCAGCAGUCGGCCCGAAUCUCGGGGACUACACCCAGUGGGUGCGCUGACGCGCCCCCACAUGAGAUAAAGAGCAAGUCACAUACCUCGGCUUUCAGUGAGAUCGGCGGUCUUUUGCGUCAGCUCCCGAGCCUGGGAGUUGAAGGCGGCCGCUCGUAGGUUGUGAUAGUCCUGCAAGAUGGACAGAAGACCGACGUGAGAACAAAGCGGCAAAAACAAAAUCAUCAAGGAAGAUCCGAGCCGACUGCUCAGCAGUCGGCCCGAAUCUCGGGGACUACACCCAGUGGGUGCGCUGACGCGCCCCCACGAGAAAAAUCAAGAACAAGAUUAGAAUACUAACCCGGAUGGCUGCCCGCGUGGCGAGGAACUCGUCGGUGAACUGUCUCAGCACCGCGGCCUGGCCCUGGAGCCGGGUCCGGACGUCUUGUGCAGCGAUGUUCACCACGGCUGUCCCUCCGCCUCGCGUCCACCCGGAGGUAGCGCUGGCCGCCUCCGCGUCUCGGGCCGACGAGCUGGAGCCCACGGCCAGCCGUGGCUCCGACGCCGCCUUCUGCGGCUCCGACGCGGCCUUCCCUGCGCGCCGGCUUGGCGGAACCCGGACCGCCACCUCAGCUCCCGCGGCCGGCUCGCCUUCCGCCGACUGUGCGGGCGCAGGCUCAGUCUGGCCGCCUUGGGCCGCCCCAGUCGGAGGAGUCGGCCCCGGCGCCUCCCUCAAGAAGAUGACGUCAUCACCGCUCCCUCCCAGAUCCGGCUGGGAACCGCUGGCUCCCCCUGGCGAGGGAUCCGCGCCCCCGGGCGCCAUGGCGUGCAGGGGGGUGACCAUCAAGGCCUCCCCUGCCGCCGCUUCGGCCUCGGCCUCUGCCUGGGCCUUGGCUGCAGCCUCGGCAAGCGCCUUCGCCGCCUCCUCCUCCCGAGCUGCCUGGGCGGCGGCUGCCCUCCGUGCCUCCGCCUCCCGCGCUUCCUGCUCCUCCCGCACCUCCCGCGCGUUCCUUUCCGUCGCCUCCAGGAGGGCGGCGCGGGGAUCUACGCGGCGGGUGGUGCUCCCAGAGCCCCCUGGCGACUCGACAACGGAGCCGGCAGCCGCCCGCUCGAGUGACAGUGGAGCUCUGAUCAAAGAAAAGAAGACAAAGGUUCAGAAAACCCCCAAGAAAAGAAAGAAGGAGAACACACAGAAAGAGAGAAAGCUUACGCUGACACGGCCUGCGGCUGCUUCACCACUUUGCGAAAACGAGCUGCCUUCGCGGCCGCCUCUUCCCGCCUGGUGGCCGCUGCCCCACCCCUGGGCUUCUUCGUCCGGCUACCGAACAUGCCCUGGGUGGCGCGACGUUUCUGGCCUCUACCCCGAGCAGGCUGCGCGCCGGAGGAGCCCGCGCCGCGUCCGGACGCCGGCUGGCGAUGCGGGACGGCUUCGGCUUCGUCCUCGUCCGGCCAGUCCUCAAAGGUAGCGGAGAGCCCGGCGCCGCCGGCUUCACCGCCAGCCGGCUCGGUGGCGUCCUCCAUAUGGACUGCCCCCAGGUCGGGGUCCUCCUGGUCGUGCUCGGUCCGGUCGGGGACGAAACGGCGCUCCGCGUCCGCCCCGCCGGCCGGUCGAAGCAGAGGACUCUGUCGAAAAGAGCGAGCCGACGGAGUUAGAGUCGGCCCGAAGGAACUCGGCGACAAAGCUGAGAGAGAAAAAGAGAAAAAGAGAAAGGGAGCGUACCGUAGGCGGAGGAUUAGCGCGGCUGUAUGGUCCCUUGCCGAAUUGCCAGUCGUCGGGAAGCUGGCAGUUGGCGAGGUAGUUCACCAUGUCGGCCGCGUCGGCCUGCGGCAUCUCCUUGGUGCACAUCCGGCUCGGAUCGAGCUGGCCGCUCAUCUGACAGAUCAGAUGAGGCCGGCUCUGGAGCGGGAGGACCCGGCGCAUGACGAACGCGGCCAGAAGGUCGGGCCCCGUCAGGCCCUCCGACUGGACCAUCACCCGCAGGCAGGCGAUGGCGGCGUUUCCUCCCGGAGACAGCGUUACCGCCCGAAAGGACCACUGGGGCAGCCUCCCCGCCGGCGGGCCGGCUACGUAAGCCGGCAGGUUGAGGUUGUCGCCUCGGGGAGCAAUGUUCCGCACGUAGAAGUAUGACUUCUGCCACUUCUUCACCGAUUGGAUCAGCGUGAUGACGGGGAAGGGGUUGUCGGCGCCUGAUCUCCGCGACGCGAUGAAGGCGCCGGUCUGAGCCGACACGCCCCUCACACGCGUGCCCAGCUUCGACUGGAAGAACUCCCCCCAGAGCUCGAGGGUGGGGAGGACGCCGAGAUAGCCCUCGCACAGGGUGACGAAGGCCGACAGCAGCACCACCGCGUUGGGGGUGAGGUGAUGUGGCUGGAGUUGAUAGAAGUCCAGCCAGGAGCGGAAGAAAGCGCUCACUGGCAGACCGAAGCCGCGCAGGAAGUGCGAGCGGAAGACCACCCGCUCGCCCUCCUGCGGCGCCGGCCUGACCUCCUUCUCCGGCGCGAGGCGGACCUCCACUUUGUCCUUGCUGGGCAGACGCCGGGUGUCGCGGAGGAAGUCGAUGUGGUCUUGGUGAACGAUGGAGCCAUCCCAAUCCCUGCCAAGCUGCUCAACGUGGGGAGGCAUAGCGGAAGCUGGCACGGCGGCAGAGAAGCGUGCGGAGGAAGAGCGCGGCGGCGAGGCGCUGGCGCAAGAACAAGCAAGGCGAGAAGACGAAGGGAGUAGGAGGAGCGUGCGAGGGUCUGCCGCCCCCCACCUCCCCCUACUUAUAGCCUCACGCGGCCGAAGAGGCCGGACGUGGGGGGGAAGACGUGGGAUUAACCGCGCCCACUCCCCCCACGACUCGCGUUUAUUACGCAUAAGUGCGAGCCGAAACUGCCGCACGGAUCGUGCGGGCGGUUUCGGGAUACAAAGGAUCCGCGCCUGGGCCGGGGCGCGGACGUGGCGGGCCCCCUCUCUGCGGCAACGUCCCGUCUCGCGCAUGGGCUGGCAGGCUUUCCGGCUAUGUGGCGCGCCGUCAGCCCGCGGCCCGGCGCACGUGCCAGCGGGUUCCCGCCCUUCGACUCCAGAAGAUUUUGGCUCAGGCGGCGUGCCUGACCAAGGCCGGCACCCAGCUGCCGGCUUGUCACGAUAGGAAGCUGUUCGAGCUUCUCGAACCCUAUUCCACCUCGAAGCCCGAUCAGUUUCGGGGACUACUGUCGGAGUAAGUGGCCACGGGUAGCCUAACCGACUACCCCUGGCUCUUCAGAAAAUUUAUCAGGCCUUUGGGCCUUCAAGCACUCCAAUCAUUUGGGUCGCCUUCCCUGGCCGGCUACCACUAAAGCCGACUCCCGGAAGGCGACCCAGCCUCACCGACUCCAGGAAGCCGGCCAAGAAGGACGCCGGCUCCUAGAAGCCGGCCAAGACCACAACCACUCCUACAUAACGACGACCUGACGGGGCAUGGCCACAGUGCGGCCCAUGACCCCCGAAGCCCGAGGCGAGCAUGGCUACAGGGGGCCGUACGGGAGGGAUGUCUCCCGCGCGGCCCGGCACUAUAGCCACGCUAGCCACGACGUCAUCCACGACCCCCUCCUGUAUGACCCAAGGACUGCGGGCCCCUUCAGCCAGAGAGAGGCGUGGAGGCGGCCCGGCUUUCCCUAGCCGGCCAGGAGCAUAGCCGGCCUCCAGAAGCCGGCGGCUCCCUUCCUCGGAGCAGGAGCCCCAUUAAGGAGACAAGAUGAGGUGAGGCUACAGCGAUAGCCCCCGAGGCGGCCCACUGUAGCCACGCUCACCUCGACAAAGCCCUCAUCAUCAGAGGCACGGCUACAGUAAGCAGCCGCCGACAAAGCCCUAGGCGGUGGCGCCGGCCUGUCGACCAAGUAGCCGGCAGCCGGCGGGACCCACCAGCCGGCGGGACCCAGUAGCCGGCGGAGAAGCCGGCGAGCAUAGACACUGACGACUGGGACCAGAUCCCAGUCGGAUUACCAUUGUACCCCCGGGGGUAGGCCUAUAUAAACCCCCCGGAGCACCCAUGCAAAGGGUUGGCUUCUGGUUCGCACCUCUGCAUGUUUGGCUUCCAAGCAUAGCACACACACACACCAUAGAUAGAGAGAAGCAAGAGCUAGCCUUGUUCUUCUUCUCCCUUGAUCCCAACAGCUCUAGGAGCGAUUGUAGCUACUCUUUAUCGAUCUAGUGAUCAUGCGGAGACCCCGCAGAGCAGGACUAGGGGUGUUAUCUCCUCGGAGAGCCCCGAACCUGGGUAAGAUUCACCGGCGUGCAUGUCUUCGCCUCAUCCCGUUUCCAGGCACCGGCGACGUUCUAUUGGCUCCCACAAUGAUAAGCCAUCCCUUGGCAUAUGUCGCACCAACCACCCGACAUUUGCAGUAGUCUAUGGAAGAAGAAAUUGAUGAAACUGUGAGCUUAUUGGAUGAAAAAGAUGAUGAGGAGAGCGAAGAACAAAAGGAGGAAGAGCGGAUUAGCUACACGUGCCCACCUUCUAAUGAGAGUAACUCUACAACUCAUACAUUGUUUAAUUUCCCUUCGUGCUUACCGAAGGAUGAUUGCUAUGAUGAUUGUUAUGAUCCCGUUGAUUCUCUUGAAAUAUCCCUUUUUGAUGAUGCUUGCUAUGCUUGUGGCCAAGAUGCCAAUAUGAAUUAUGCUUAUGGAGAUGAACUUGAUAUAGUUCCCUAUGUUAAACAUGAAAUUGUUGCUACGCUCCCCCCUCCGGCAGGGUGCCGGAACAGGUUCCCGAUUGGUUUUUGAUGGCUACAGAGGCUUGCGGCGGCGGAACUCCCGAUCUAGGUUAUUUUCUGGAGGUUUCUGUAUUUAUAGGAAUUUUUGGCGUAUGUCUCACGUCAGGAGGGGCUCCGAGUCGUCCACGAGAUAGGGGGACGCGCCCAGGGGGGUGGGCGCGCCCUCCACCCUCGUGGACGGCUCGGGACUCUUCUAGCCCAACUCUUUUACUCCGAGGGCUUCUUUUGGUCCAUAAAAAAUUAUCAAAAAUUGGCACGUCAAUUGGACUCCGUUUGGUAUUCCUUUUCUGUAAAACUCAAAAACAAGGGAAAAAACAGAAAACUGGCGCUGGGCUCUAGGUUAAUAGGUUAGUCCCAAAAAUCAUAUAAAAUAGCAUAUAAAUGCAUAUAAAACAUCUAAGAUGGGUAAUAUAAUAGCAUGGAACAAUCAAAAAUUAUAGAUACGUUGGAGACGUAUCAUCCAUUCUUAUCUUGUUUCUCUUCUGGCUCUUUCUUCCUAUUUUUCUUUGGCCUACCCAUUACUUUUGUGUAUAUAGGUGGGAAGACAGGGAUGCCAUGCAACUUUUCCCACUUCUUCAUGUCACUCAUAGGCAUCAGGUUCCAUCCAUAGCAAUCCUUGUAGUUUUCCACUGUAUAGCACUCAUGAACCAUGCUCUCUGGUUCAAUCCUCUCGUGCCUGAAACAUGCAAUAGCAUGAUGGCAAGGUAUGGCAGAUAGCUCCCAUCUCUUACAUUCACAUCUCUCUUCCAUCCAGAAUAUAACUGCGAAUCAAUACAAUUGGAUCAAUGAUUAUGUAGGCAGAAUAAAAAGAGGAAUACAUUUAGCAACAUAGUAGCAUGGAUUAUGUUGGCAGAAAGAGGAAUACAUCCACAUUUACCAAUAAAUAUGUGGAUUAUAAAAAAUGAAUGCAUCUACAAAAGAGGAUUUUGGAUCAAACCUGUUGAAAACUUCACUCAUGUUGUUUAGAAGGAUGUCACAUUUGCUGAAAGGGGAAAAAAUGCUUUGAUCCAUGUUUUAGGUGCCAACUUCUCCACCCACUGGUAUGCAGCAAGGCUAAGUUACUUCAUCUGCUCCAUGUUCUUACUAUAAGCAAUUUCAUGUGUAGAUCUUGCUAUUGCCCAUAAAUCAUUCUUGAGUUGUUCUCCCUUGUGUAUUUUAUGAAAGUUCUGGUAGAUGUGCCUAACACAGUUUCUGUGUUCAGCAUAAGGGAAAACUUUUUGCACUGCUGCUAUUAAACCCUAAAAAGAAAUGUCAUUUGGUGAGUAAGUAUUGUAAGCAGAUGAUUACCAUGCAAUAAAUUAAAGAGGUAGCAAGUGCUAACCUUUUGCUUGUCACUCAUUAUUGUAUAUGGUGAAGAGUUGCUUAUAUUCAAGUCAUCCUUCAAAGUGGCUAAGAACCACUCCCAACUAUAUGUUGACUCAACUUCACAUAGCCCAAAUGCUAUGGGGAAAUACAUUGGGAUCAACACCAACUGCUGUAAGUAAGUUCCCUUUGUGUCUAGUUUUUAUGUGGCACCCACCGAGAAAGAUGACUUGAAUAUAAGGUACCCUCUCUUACAUGCAUCAUAUGACCAGUACAGGGUUGAGAAGUGGUCUUUUGUUUCUUUAGUCCUAUCAUCAAAAACCUCCUUAGUGCACACGAAGAACUUGCUUCCUGGGUUAGUCCUCCUAAGCUCUUGGCCAUAGUCCCACAACAUAUUGUAUUGGUCAUCAUCUUCACCUCGAAUUUGUUUAACUGCUGCUCUUCUUGCCCUACCAGCUUACUUCUCUUUGCAACCAUGUUGAAUUCCUGCUCCACUUUAUCUGAAAACUUUCUCAAAGGCAUCUUCUCAUUGUCUCUGAAUUCUUCUCUGAAUUGUGCAGUCAGGAAUGGUGCAGUCAAAGCUUUCAGAUCCCAAGCCUUGGUGCAUGUGUGAUUGUCAAGGUAUUUCUUUAUCUGAAUUCUAGUACUCCUGUUAUCUCUGCCCGCCUUCAAGUACCAAGUACAUCCAGGCUUGCAUACUACCUCAAAUUUGGUGGUCGUAUUCCUUAUCUUCUCAACCUUUACUCUGUUUCUUACACUGUAUGCAACCACAACAAGCCUUAGCUCUUUCAUAUCACCAAAAAGCAUGCCAACUCUAAAAGUUGGUGCUUUAAGGUCACUGAAUGGAUUGAAUGUGCUGAAUUUGUAUCUAAGCUUGUCUCCUUCUUCUUUUGAUAGGUUCACAUGACUGUCAUCUAGGGCAUCUUCAGGAAGUUCUCCUUCAAAGUCAGGCACAAUCUCCUUCUGUCUAUGGUCAUCAACAUCUUUGUCUACAUUGCUCUCAAACAGAUCAUCAUCACCUUGUGCUACUUCGUAAUCACUCUCAUAGAAAUCCUCAUCAGUUUCAACUUCUGCAUCUACAUGUUCGUCACUACUGUCACCUGCAUCUUCAGCACUACUGUCAUCACUGUCACAAUUGCCAUCUUCUUCCUCAAAUUCUCGAUAUGGAACCCUUGAGCUACAGCCCUCACCAAAUGACAUGAAUCUCUUUGCUUUCUUGUAGUUACAUCUCAUCUCUGUUGCAAUUUCUGGUUUCUCAAAGUUGUCCACAUUUUCUUUUCCCUUUGCUGACUUAACUGGAGUAAUAACCCUUGGCAGCUCAGGCAUCCCCUCUACCAACACAUCAUCAUCAGUUACUGACUCCAGGGUGUCACCAUGGUCUACAAGCAAGACCAAGUUCUUGUGAUCCACUGUUGCAGCAAUCAUAAGGACAAUGUGUGCAUCACAUGCAAUCAACUGAAGGCCAUCACACAAAGACUUUCCAGGUUUGCUCCAAUACACAUCUAUCUUGGACACAGCACUGUCAUAGCCCAAUUGGAGAAGAAAAACAUCAAUCCAUAGAACUGACCAAGUAUCACUGUCGCAGCUAUCAAACCAGUCCACUUCUUGAUCCAUGUAGGUCAUGUUGCUAUCACUUCCACACAAAAAACCUUUGUGAUGUAUCUCAACUGAAAACAGUCCAUCAAAUUGCCCUGCAUUAUGAAAUAGCACAUACUUUCAGUUAAAUGCAUUGCACACAUUGAGAAAAAUUCAGUUAAAUGUACUGCAAACAUUCAGACAUAUUCAGUUAACAUACUGCGCAUAACUUCAGUUAAAUGCACUGCACACAUUUAGACAAAUUCAGUUAAAUGUACUGCACAAAUUCAGUUAACAGAGUUGACACAUUCAGAGUCCGCGCACAUUCAGUGAACACCAUUCAAAUUUACUACAUGAAUCACACUACAGCUCCAGUACUAAUCUGAAUCAAUUUAACUAGAGGAAUCAUAGCACUUCUAUACCCUGUUUCGAUGGCCACAUAACCAAGACCAUCCCCUUUCAGAGAAAAAGUGCGCUGACUGAUAACCCCCAAAUAAACCCUAGCCCUAUUUUGACGUGAAAAGGGCCCAAUGCCGUCCACAGCAAUCCGCAUCUUGUAAAUAACACGGAUAAGAUGAACAUCAACCACGAGAAAUCGAAGCCCAUUACAGUGGUUAACCCUACCCUGUGAUUACGUCGUACAGGCGCGAGAAAAUUGAGAAGGAGGAACAGAGCGACGAUAGGAACUGCCUCGCCAGGACGUCGACGACACGGGCCAUCCAUCGCCUCCGUCGCCGGCCGCCGUGCCGCGCCGCACCACCUCCGCCUUGGACUGAUCGAGACUGAGGGAGAGGAAAGGAAAGGGAUACGAAACGGUGGGGACUCUGAGCGAAGGAGCACGGGAUUAAGGGUACCAAAUAGAAAAACUAAACACGGUCCCUGUUCCCGCCGUUACAGGGGCUUUUUUGAGAGAAUUAAUUAAAGCCCAGGGGGUUUUCUGCUUAACAGCCAGGCUGUGCGCCUCACCCAGCCUCUAUGUCGCCCCGAGCCACUGACAUGUGGGCCAAUGACACGCUGGCGUGCCACGCGGGUGGUGCACACCGCGGAAUACGUCUGGAGGCACUGUAUUUGAACCACGGGACAAGUUGCGGCACCACUUUUGUGUAUUUUGCAAGUCUAGGCACUAAACUGACCGCACAGAACAAGUUUAGGCACUCAUAGUGUAUUUAACUCUUGUUUUAAAUAGUUUAUAUUCCCUGAUGAUCAGGGGGUAGAUAUCCAUAUCAGAUACCUGUUUCUGCUCCCUCUGUUCCUAAAUAUUUGUCUCUCUAAAGAUUUCAACAAGUGACUACAUACGAAGCAAAAUGAGUGAAUUUACAUUAUAAAAUAUGUCUAUAUACAUCCGUAUGUGAUAGUCCAUUUGAAAUCUCCUAAAAGACAAAUAUUUAGGAACGGAGGGAGUACGAAGCAUCCAUGCAUCCUACUCCUAGAUCACGCAUCAAAUUCAUAUGCAAUCGUAUCACUAAGCUUUCUACUCUCUUUUUUUGAGUGAAAGCUUUCUACUCUCUUUUUUUUUGAGGGAAAGCUUUCUACUCUCUUUUUUUUUGAGGGAAAGCUUUCUAUUCUCUUUUUUGAGGUACACUAAGAAUUCUACUUUAUUCAGGAGGUGACGAAGGAAUAAUUCCACUCAUGCUUGUUCACGCACAAAUACAAAAGGACAGCAGAAAGCACACCUAACCCCUGGAGACGCUCGAUUUUGACGAUGUGAUACAUGCUCAAAUUAUGAGUGGGAUACAGGUAUCAUUUGGCAUCGUUGGCUGUCAGAUCUGCCAUUGGAUGCUCCAGGUUUUUCACGAUUAGAACAAGAGGGUGGCAAGAAAUUGUUGGCCUCCGACGAUUUCUAACCAUCUGGGUGGCAAAAUAUGGGCGGUAGCAGGACAGUCGCGCAUCGAAUUCAUAUAGAUGACCAUUUAACAAUUUGGGCGGUUUUUCUGUGACCAACGAAUAAUUCCACUAAUGCUUGUUUUGACCCGCACCUAAUACUCAAGAGAAGCUCAGCAUUGACAAGUGUUAUAGAUGACCAUUUAACAAUUACAGACACAUUUUCUAGCUUAAGCAAAGUCAGGGCAGCUAAGGACAACUGUUCAACAAACAAAGAUCAUAAACAACCACAGAGGGGAUAGUAGAGCACAGCAGAGACUGAUUAAGAACAGAAGCCAAGUAUGAAAACGAGGAAUAUAAAAUUAGAGCAUCAAAACAAAGCAUGGCCGGCCUUCACAAAAUAAUAAAAAUAUAAGGAUGCAGAGCAACCUUCUAACCAUAAUGGCACGACAGGAACAGAAUUAUCGGUUUCACAUGCUCAAACAGCAGUCACUAACAUGGUUUCAUGGUUUUGUCACCAGGAUUCAAACAUUAAUAGUAGUUCAUUACAUAGCUUAUAGGAUAAAGAUCAGACUUGAUGAAGCACCACAGUUCGUUGAUAAUUUCCUAGCCCUUGCUUCCUUUGAGGUUUCCAUUCUUAACGGUACUGUUAAAUAAGAGUGCAGAUUCAGAGAUCAGUAUAAAGAGAUUUUGAUAUGCAAAAUAAAAGGCAUACAGGAAAUUAGUCGCACACAAACAUUCAGGUAUUCAGGCACAAUAGCAUAUGAAUCUGAAAAAUAAUUUACCCAAACCCAAAAAUUGAAGCAUAAAACCUACAGUUAAUCAGACAAAAGUGGAAAUGGAAACAACAUUUUUCAAUCAUCUCAAUUUUCUACUAAAUCAUAAAGUAGUUGUGUAAAUAUAUACCUACUUAAUAGAUAUUUGCACAAUUGCAAUACACUCAAUGUGUUAUGCAUUGAAAUGGGCCCGUAUGCUCAAAAAAUACUUGGCAGUUAAGGGUUAGUAAAUAGUUGAAACUGGGGACAGAUGCAACAGAGCAAGACUUAUAUUGGUGGGAGCAACAAACGGAGCUAGUAUCAUGUAGUCAUGCACAACUCUGUCAGUUCCAAGAUGCCUUAUGGUUAAUAGAAAUUGCACACUGAUCAAACAGAUACAAAACAUUGCAAGGCAAAACAUGAGGUGAUGAUUGCAAAACUUGACCAGGUUUACUCUGGCAAGAGGAGCAACACACACAUCUAUUUUGAAUAGAUGAAUCUAAGAUGUCACACAUUACACCACAGUAUGUACCAACAAAUGCCAAGAGAGGCUAAAACUGCUUGACCAUACCAAGAGAGGCCUUGUAGACAGAGCAUAUAUAUUAUUCAAAGCAAAGCAUGGUGACAUAUACUAGUAUUACUCGGCAGCCAUCAAAUUCAGGCACAGAUUCAGGAAAUCCACGGACAGUGUGGCGGCGCAUACCUUGAUGAAGCCGAUGUCCUUGGCGUUGCUGCGGAAGCACUGCCUGCAGCACAUCAGCCCGUACUUGCGGAUCAGGCCAUGCGAGUUGCCGCAGACACGGCUGCAAGAAAAGAUCCAAACCACCACGCGUCACGACAUAAAACCAUCAAACAAUCCAAGGCGCAUGAAUCAUGCACAUCGAACACGAGCAUAUAAGAUUUAGAGCUAAGCUACGAGAUUGCGCCACGGAUCUACAGGUGCGGACAUGGAACCGCCUCUUGCUACCGAUCUAGGAGAGGGCGGGGUACAAGUUCCCAAUCGAUCAAGAGUAGGGAGUAGAGAGAGGAUCAUUACCAAACCCUGGAUCCGGGGCCGUAGUUCUUGGGGUGCGAGUUCCAGACGUUCGAGUGUCCCAUGGCGGCGGCGGCGGGGCGGCUUGCAACUGGAAACCCUACCUUUUGCUCUCGCCUGGCUAGAAUGAGGAGGUCGGGUCGCGAGGGCGCCGGGUUUUCUAUAUAGCCUGGCAGGCUUCACUUGCUGGGCUCACUUGUACACUUGCGAAACUUUGCCGAUCGAUGGCCUUGCGGAUACAUGGGCUGGCCUCACAGCCCGUAUUUAAGCAACCACGGCCCGGUAACUGGGGUGAUCCAUUUUUUUGGCGUCUUUUGUUUUUCAAACUCCAAAUUUCGUAGUGUUCUUUUUAUUCGCAAGAAAAUUUCGUGGUGUUCUGUUCCCUCUUGGUGAACGACACCCACUGCAGACACGGCGUGUGAUUUUAACGCUGUCUUCGGGAAUCUCCGGUUUGCAACUGAAAAGAUACUACCAACAAAUACGGAGUACUAAUGAUGCUUAAAACUGUCAAAAAAGGGGGGAAUUUCUAGAGAUUGACAGAGCAGUCAGGAGUCUCUACACCGAGUUUUUAAAUCUAAGCCGAUACGACCGAUAUAGACUGAUAUAUCAGUUUUAGGGCUCUACGGAUAUAAAUAUAACAUAUUGGUUAGUAAAUAUCGUUUCCAGACAUAUUAUCCAACAUGAACCAAAAUAUCCCAUCCGCAUGUGUUAGUUUAUCCCGCCGCCUGAUGGUGCUUCUAUCACUUUCAUCAUCGUGACACAAACAACCGGUAUGAAGAACAUGCCUGCUCAUGUUUUUGUUUUGUUUUUGAAUAAAAGCACCCAAAAGAUAUCUUAGAUCUGGUUAAUAUUAAGAAAAACAAAGGCCAGUACAAAGAAUAGACAAGUGAACGUAGAACGACUUGUACAAAAUAAAAUUACACUAUUAAAAAGCAUACUAGUCUUUUUCUUUCUUUGAUUGUACACCGCCGGCCAGAGAUUAAGAAUUACACUGAACCAACAGCAAAGAAAAACGAAACCUGUGAAUGCCCUCGCCAUACCAGAUUUUGAAGACCGCAAUAGCCGCUCGCCACUUGAGACGAGAUUUAAAAAUCGUUGAACCAUUGUAUACUGGAGCAUCACCCCAUACAGAACAGGCUUGCAAUGCAUCACCAUCAGCACAGAGUGUUGGAGAAACUGGAUCAUGCCACAGAACAACACGAAAAAAGAUGUCGAAGUCGCCACACCAAUAGCCAGCCAUAAGGUCUCCUUGUUGGGGAACGUACUAAUUUCAAAAAAAAUCCUACACACACGCAAGAUCAUGGUGAUGCAUAGCAAGGAGAGGGGAGAGUGUCGUCUACGUACCCUCGUAGACCGUAAGCGGAAGCGUUACAACAACACGGUUGAUGUAGUCGUACGUCUUCACGAUCGACCGAUCCUCAGCACCGAACGUACGGCACCUCCGCGUUCAGCACACGUUCAGCUCGGUGACGUCCCGCGAACUCACAAUCCAGUAGAGCUUCCGGGAAGAGCUUCGCCAGCACGAGGCGUGGUGACGGUGAUGAUGAUGCUACCGACGCAGAGUUUCACCUAAGCACCACUACGAUAUUACCGAGGUGGAUUAUGGUUGAGGGUGGCACCGCACACGGCUAAGAGAUCAAUCAUCAAUUGUUGUGCCUUGGGGUGCCCCCCUGCCCCCGUAUAUAAAGGAGCUAGGGGGGAGGCGGCCGGCCAGGAGGAGGGCGCACCAAGGGGGGAGUCCUACUCCCACCGGGAGUAGGACUCCUCCUUUCCUAGUAGGAGUAGGAGAAGGGAAGGAAGGGAGAGAGGAAGAGAAAAAAAAAGAAGGGCGCCGCCCCCCUCCUUGUCCAAUUCAUACUAGAGGGGGAGGGGGGGCGCGGCUGCCAUGGCCGCCCCUCCUCUUCUCCCACUAGGGCCCAUUAGGCCCAAUAUACUCCCUCGGGGGUUCUGGUAACCCCUCGGUACUCCGGUACAUGCCUGAAACCUCCCGAAACACUUCCGGUGUCCGAACAUAGUCAUCCAAUAUAUUGAUCUUUACGUCUCGACCAUUUCGAGACUCCUCGUCAUGUCCGUGAUCAUAUCCGGGACUCCGAACUACCUUCGGUACAUCAAGACACAAAAACUCAUAAUACGGAUCGUCACAGAACUUUAAGCGUGCGGACCCUACGGGUUUGAGAACUAUGUAGACAUGACUGAGACACGUCUCUGGUCAAUAACCAAUAGCGGAACCUAGAUGCUCAUAUUGGUUCCUCCAUAUUCUACGAAGAUCUUUAUCGGUCAAACCGCAUAACAAUAUACGUUGUUCCCUUUGUCAUCGGUAUGUUACUUGCCCGAGAUUCGAUCGUCGGUAUCUCAAUACCUAGCUCAAUCUCGUUACCGGCAAGUCUCUUUACUCGUUCUAUAAUGCAUCAUCCCGCAACUAACUCAUUAGUUGCAUUGCUUGCAAGGCUUAUAGUGAUGCAUUACCGAGAGGGCCCAGAGAUACCUCUCCGACAAUGGGAGUGACAAAUCCUAAUCUUGAUCUAUGCCAACUCAACAAGUACCAUCAGAGACACCUGUAGAGCACCUUUAUAAUCACCCAGUUACGUUGUGACGUUUGGUAGCACACAAAGUGUUCCUCCGGUAUUCGGGAGUUGCAUAAUCUCAUAGUCAUAGGAACAUGUAUAAGUCAUGAAGAAAGCAAUAGCAAUAUACUAAACGAUCAAGUGCUAAGCUAACGGAAUGGGUCAAGUCAAUCACAUCAUUCUCUAAUGAUGUGAUCCCGUUAAUCAAAUGACAACUCAUGUCUAUGGCUAGGAAACUUAACCAUCUUUGAUUGAACGAGCUAGUCAAGUAGAGGCAUACUAGUGACACUCUGUUUGUCUAUGUAUUCACACAUGUACUAAGUUUCCGGUUAAUAAAAUUCUAGCAUGAAUAAUAAACAUUUAUCAUGAUAUAAGGAAAUAUAAAUAACAACUUUAUUAUUGCCUCUAGGGCAUAUUUCCUUCAGUCUCCCACUUGCACUAGAGUCAAUAAUCUAGUUCACAUCAUUAGAGUCAAUAAUCUAGUUCAUAUUUCUAUGUCUACAAUGCUCCGCACGGAGCUACUUUAGCUAAAUGCUCCCACUUUCAAUAUGUAUCCAGAUUGAGACAUAGAGUCAUCUGGAUCUGUGUCAAAACUUGCAUCGACGUAACCCUUUACGACGAACCUUUUGUCACCUCCAUAAUCGAGAAACAUAUCCUUAUUCCACUAAGGAUUAUUUUGACCGCUGUUAAGUGAUCUACUCCUAGAUCACUAUUGUACUCCCUUGCCAAACUCAGUGUAGGGUAUACAAUAGAUCUGGUACACAGCAUGGCAUACUUUAUAGAACUUAUGGCUGAGGCAUAGGGAAUGACUUUCAUUCUCUUUCUAUCUUCUGCCGUGGUCAGGCUUUGAGUCUUACUCAAUUUCACAUCUUGUAACACAGGCAAGAACUCUUUCUUUGACUGUUCCAUUUUGAACUACUUCAAAAUCUUGUCAAGGUAUGUACUCAUUGAAAAAACUUAUCAAACGUCUUUAUCUAUCUCCAUAGAUCUUGAUGCUCAAUAUGUAAGCAGCUUCACCGAGGUCUUUCUUUGAAAAACUCCUUUCAAAUACUCUUUUAUGCUUUCUAGAAAAUUUCUACAUUAUUUCCAAUCAACAAUAUGUCAUUCACAUUUAUUUAUCAGAAAUGUUGUAGUGCUCCCUCUCACUUUCCUGUAAAUACAGGCUUCACUGCAAGUCUGUAUAAAACUAUAUGCUUUGAUCAACUCAUCAAAGCGUAUAUUCCAACUCCGAGAUGCUUGCACCAGUCCAUAGAUGGAUCGCUGGAGCUUGCACAUUUUGUUAGCACCUUUAGGAUCGACAAAACCUUCUGGUUGUAUCAUAUACAACUCUUCUUCCAGAAAUCCAUUCCGGAAUGCAGUUUUGACAUCCAUUUGCCAAAUUUCAUAAUCACAAAAUGCGGCAAUUGCUAACAUGAUUCGGACAGACUUAAGCAUCGCUACGGGUGAGAAAGUCUCAUCGUAGUCAACCCCUUGAACUUGUCGAAAACCUUUCGCAACAAGUCGAGCUUUGUAGACAGUAACAUUACCGUCAGCGUCAGUCUUCUUCUUGAAGAUCCAUUUAUUUUCUAUGGCUUGCCGAUCAUCGGGCAAGUCAACCAAAGUCCACACUUUGUUCUCAUACAUGGAUCCCAUCUCAGAUUUCAUGGCCUCAAGCCAUUUUGCGGAAUCUGGGCUCAUCAUCGCUUCCUCAUAGUUCGUAGGUUCAUCAUGAUCAAGUAACUUGACCUCCAGAACAGGAUUACCGUACCACUCUGGUACGGAUCUCACUCUGGUUGACCUACGAGGUUUGGUAGUAACUUGAUCUGAAGUUACAUGAUCAUCAUCAUUAGCUUCCUCACUAAUUGGUGUAGGAGUCACAGGAACAGAUUUCUGUGAUGAACUACUUUCCAAUAAGGGAGCAGGUACAUUAUACGUAUCCGUCGUAUCUACUUUUCCAAAGACUUUUGCCCUUGUUUUGGACUCUAACUUGCAUGAUUUGAAUGGAACUAACCCAAACUGACGUUGUUUUCAGCAGAAUUGCCAUGGUGUUAUUUAUGUGCAGAAACAAAAGUUCUCGGAAUGACCUGAAACUCCACGGAACUUAUUUUUGGAAAAUAAUAAAAAUAUUGGCGAAAGAAUCAAGGCCAGGGGGCCCACCACCUGUCCACGAGGGUGGGGGCACGCCUGCCCCCCCUGGGCGCACCCCCUGCCUCGUGGGCCCCCUGUUGCUCCACCGACCUCAACUCCAACUCCAUAUAUUCGUGUUCGGGGAGAAAAAAAUCAGAGAGAAAGAUUCA
rnacentral:lncRNA from 1 species